UGGUUCUUUUUGAAAAAAAGAAUAGUAAAUGAUAGCGUUAGCAUUUUGUCCAUUACAAUGGAGACUCUUCUUUUCUUAUUUAGCACUCAACAUUCUAUUAUGUGCACAUAAAGAAAAAGAAUUGAGCCCCCUCAUUUACAUGAGUUACAUUUACCACCCCAAACAUGCGCAAAUGGAUCUCAAAACAGCAAGCUUCCACAUACAUGGAUAUGCACGGUGGUCCCUUCUAGUACGCAAGAAUGGUCAAGUAUAAAACGGCUCAGAGGGGUGAGAGAAAUUUUUCCCGCCCCAAAACCACUUAGGAUGUACAUGUUCGGAAAAAAACACAGUGUUUACAUUGUCUGGACAUGUACUUCCGUACAAAAAUACAGUUUUUGUUCUAUUAGAAGAUACACUUCCCAAGGUUUUUAGCAACAUUGGGGUGGGCAAAGUUUCUUUUUAAAAGUCACGCAUUAAUAAGUUAAUGACAAUGUUAGUAUUAAGGUUCGAACCCGGAUCACUGCUUAAAAUUCCUUCAAUAUCCCUUAAUUCACCAACAGAGUUUCCUAUUUGGGAGGAUUGGUUGGAACUUGGAAAGAAAAGUAGAAGACAUAAUGCUACACAUCAUGACACAGUGAUGCACAACAGAAAGGAUCAUAGAUUUCUGAAACAAUUAUCAACGUGCACAACACAACAUUGUCUCUCUUGUUCACCAUGAAUUCCAUGUCCUCAUUCAAUGGAUCUUAAUUAGUCAAAUCCUUUGAAUGAUUAGGAGAUUGCAUUGCAUUGAUUCUUGAUCAGCGCCUAAAACUUGUGCACUGAAUCUUGUUGCUUCAACAUCAAGGUCAGUGCCACUACUGUUUUAGCACCCUACAGGUCCAAGUUCAAAUAACUUUAAAAAAUGCUCAGACAAUACUACAGAGAACUGCAGAAGUUUAAUAAAAUAUUCGCCUAUUUCAACUCAUUUCUUUAAGUGCAAGAUUGGCUUUGUAAUUGAUUACAAUUCACAAGUCGCUGUGCGAUAGGUAAAUCAUUAUAGAGAAGCCUUCAAUCAACAUAAUGUGUAAAUUAUUCUCAUUUUUUUCACACGUCUUUUAUCAGUUUUUCUCCUUUCAUAUCCUUUCUAUUGAAGUGUCCACAGGCUUUAUCGAAAUAUGAUUAUGUUUGCAUGGCUUGAUCCUAAGGAAUACAAUAAUGAAAGCAACAUAAUUUUGGAGGCUAAUGUGGUAUAAUGCAACUGUCGUAAAUUUAGUUAACUAAAAGUAUAAAAAGAAAGUUAAGGAAUGCACCUCUUUGUAAGCUUCAACUAGAGCAACAUGAAAAUCCCUAAAGCCAUAUAUGGUCCCAAGAUGACUAACAUAAAGUGUAUCAAAAUGAUUGACUCAUAAUAAACGUGAUCAAAAUGAAGUCCUUAACAUUCGGUCAAAUGUCAAUGAAGUCCCAGAAAAGUCUUUUCAGAUAUUUACAUAUUACAACCAGUACAGGGAAGUUACAGCAAGCUUACAAGUAGAUAAGCUAAAGUAUUACAACUUCCACAAACAUGUUCCAUAACAUGGAAAUUUCACAAUUGGCUAAAAAAUGUAAAAUGAAAAUGAAUGAUAACAUAAAAGACAAAAUGAACUACAGUUAGAUGCUGCACUUCAAACAAAAAGAGAUUAAACUCUGUUGAAAAUGGCCAUUUUGAUCACAACAAUACACGUGCGAUAACAGGAAGAGAGUUAACACAUAAAUAGAACAUUAUGAUAGUGACUUGUUCCAGAAGACAAGAUAGGAUUAGAUAUGUAAGGGACAAAAUUAGGGAUGUCCCUACAAUAGAGAAGAAGAUAAAAUCUCUUUGGUCAUAUAUAUAAACAAAAACACUACAGUAAGUAGAAUAUUCCAAUUGUUAGAGGUAAAAGAAGACCAAAAAUCCUAUAGGUCAAAUCAAACCAUUGAAAUACUUUUGGAGGUAAAUUGUCUUAAUUAGACCAAAUACAUGACAAAACUUUACAGCGUUGACUGAUUAAUUUAACCAAACUUGUCUGGUGGGAAAAGAUUGUUGUUUUUGACUUCUUGUUGUACAAUUUCCAAUCUAACAGUAAAGUAGAUAAUCUAUCAUUUACAAAAAAAAUACAUAAAUAUGCUAAACUUCUUCAUACAAAUAAAUCCUCUCUUUGAAAAAAAAAUACCUUAAACUUUUAGCAAACCAUAAGUUGAAUCACCGUUGGCAAACAUGCGAUUUCCUACAGUUGUUGGCUUAUCUGGAAUUGAUGGAACCUCAAUGUCCCCUUCUAGCAUCUUCAAAGCAUCCAAAAUUGUGGGCCUUAAAGCAACUACUACAUGACAGCACAAAAUUCCAACCAUCAAAAAUCUCUCCAUUAUGCUUCUAGUGGAAUUUCCAUCCAAUAAUAUAGAAGCAUCCAAAGCCUUCAUUGUGUUUCCAGAUUUCAUCAACGACCAAACCCAAUCCGUGAUCAAGAAAUUAGGCUCUCCAGACGAAGACAACUGAAGAGCCUUUUUUCCACACAUUAUCUCAAGAACAACCACGCCAAAACUAUAGACAUCACUCUUCUCGGUUAACUGACCAUAAAGUGCAUAUUCUGGAGCUAGAUAUCCACGAGUUCCGGCUACUCUAGUAUUUGGCUGAGACAUAUUUUGACUGUAGUCCUGUUUCGCCAGCCCGAAAUCUGCAACCCUUGCUCUCAUACCUGCAUCAAGUAGUAUAUUGGUAGCUUUGAUAUCUCUGUGAUAAACAGGAGGCUUAACUCCAAAGUGCAAAUAAACCAACGCGUUCGCCACAUCCAAGAUUAUGUUUUUUCUUUGAGACCAAGUCAAAGAUUGUUUUUCAUUUUUGGUUAUCCAUUUCAGGGAAAAGAUGGUCUUUAAGACUACCAUUCGGCAUAUAAUCAUAGACAAGAUACUUUCCAAAGUACUCAGGAUUCUCAUCUUCACCAACAACACAACAUCCUCUUAGCGGCACCAAAUUGCGAUGUUUCAAGCUACUAACAAUCCCCACCUCUCUGUAAAACUCAACAUCUCCUUGAUAAUCAGAUUCUUCAAUCCUUUUAACCGCAACAAUCGUCUCAUCCGGUAAAACCCCCUUGUAAACCGAACCAGACCCGCCUCUUCCAAUGAAAUUUUGGGCCGAAAAGUUGUCAGUAACCUUCACAAGAUCCUUAAAAUUAAACCAAAUCAACCCACUUUUAGGCCUAACUCUUAAACUAAAACUAGGCUCUUGUGAACCACCAUUAUGUGGUAACAAAUUUUCAUUGUUUUUUUUCUUCACCCACCAAACAUACCAAAAAUACAAUAACCCUAACAAAAAUGACACAAAUACUAAUGAAGCUACAACCAAUCCAAUAACAAGAGCACGAUGAUGAUGUUCCUUUUCAGAAUACUCAUGUGGUACCAACAAAAUAAGAAUGCAAGCCAAAACACCUGUACUCUCAGGACCAAGUUUAUUCACAAUUCCAGCUAUAUAUAGUAUUGUAAAAUAAAAACAAUCUUGAGAAUGUGAACUAUUACCAUCAAAUUUAGUCAGCAUCUGUUGAACCUUAAACCCUUGAUUUUUACAAACAUGACAAUGAUCCGAAUCUGUUAAAUCUGGUUCACAAACAUUAUCAAGAACAGUUAAAUCUGUUGAAUCAACUUUGUUAAGCCAAUCUUGUUUGGUUUGAAUUUGAGCACAUGUGUCUGGUGUGGCAACAAAUUGAGAUGGAUCAAAGCAUGAAGAGACAAGGUUGUUAGGAAGUGAAAUUGAAGUGAGGCUAGUUUGGUAAUUAUGUAGACAAGAGGUUGAGGUAGUUAUGUUGUGAAAAUUGAAAAGUGAGUUCUUAUUGAGAUUUUCAGCAAGUGCUAUACCAAAGAGAGAUAAGAGAGUUUUACAACAAAGAGUUUCUUGUGUUUCUGUUUUGGAUGUUAAAGGUUGGAAGUUAAGACAAAGAGAUUUGUUCCAAGGAACUGUUGAGACAAAUUUCAUGGACACUGGACAUGUUGUUGAGUUUGAUGCAUCUGUUGUAACUAAGAUGAGAAAAACAAGGAAAAGAACCAAACUAGAUUUCAUUGUUUGGAAGCUUAAAAAAGCUGUGAUGGACACAAAGGUUAGAUAUGUUUUGUUUCUAUUUUUGCAUGUGGUUGUGGUUGAUAUGCCAUGUGGUGGAGUAAGUUUGAUUGAAUACACACACAGAAAGAGAAAAAACAAUGAAAUUCUCCUGUCACAAAUUUGUUUGGUGGACAUUUAUAUUUAUCAUUUAAUAUAAAGAUCAAAGGCACCAACUAAGGUAGACAUUUUCUUUUAAAAAAUGAAUUACUCAACUAAAGUCUAUAAGUGCCUACUACAAUUUUUAACUAAUAUAAUAAUCUACUAGAUUAUGUUUUAAAGCGUGUUAAAGAGUAAAUUAGUUUAGUUGAACGUUCAUUUAUAUUAAAUCUCCAGAAGGUUGUUUCUUUUUAUAUUUAAUUGAAUAAUAAUGCAUUUUAAAGAAUAAUAGCUUGGUAUGUCAACUUAGUUUUUAUGAAGCAAAUCUUAGUCUGGCUCGUGAAUUUAAACAUAAAACAAAGGAAAACACACUAGUACAAAAUUUUGUCAACUUCAAAUCAAACAUGCACUACAACAACAACCAAGUCACAUUCAAAUCUAACUAACAUCCAUAAAUUGAGGAGCCAAGACUGACUCAAGUGUUGAAGUUUGUACGCCAACCACUCUCCUCAACUGCAUCCAAUCAACUCUUGUCAAUGUCUUCAAGUCCGAUUUGGAUCAUUGGCACGGUCUAUGAAAACGAGGGAAAGUUUCUAAUAAUAUAGUCACAAAUAUCAGACUAUUUAUUCCCUUAGCCUCAAUUUGGGAAUUGUUGUUCAUGUAUGUACACCAAAAUUCUCCCAUUACAUUACACGGUAUCGAGACCGAUGAUAGUUUACAGGCAACACUCACACUUCUUAAUUCAACAAAACACUUUUUAGAAAGGACAAAAUUAAAGUUGAAAAUACCUAAAUAAUAUUGUGAAUUUCAUAUCAUUGAAAUAUUUAUUAAUUUAAAAAUAAAUAGUCUACUUUGAGAAGGAUUUUAACAAUUUUACGAUUCAAAGAAUUACAUAUUAGAAAAGUGACUUUAAUGUGACCUUAUUUUCAACCGAGUUACCGACACCCUCCCUCCUACUGCCUUUAUUAUUCAUAUACAUAAGCUUGUUGUUGGGGUGAGUGAGGGGAUCACACAUGGAAGUAUGUCACAUGCACACUCACCACCGGCUUGAAGAGCCACAUUUGAGGUCCUUGAGGACUGUCUCUCAAAUUAAUUCAUAUAUCUCAUUUCACAAAUGUUUUUUUUGCUCAUAGCUGCUGCUAUAAAUUUAACUACCACAUGACAAUCUACUAACUUAAUUACUUUUUUUUUUAUUAUAUUAUUAAUUAUUUAUAUUAUUCUCUUUUCUUUUAAUUUUUUAAUUUAUUUUUCUCGUAUCGUUAAAGAUAAUUUGUAAAACAAUUCAUAAUAAAAAUAAAUGCAUAUUUUAAUAUGUAUAAAAUAAAAUGUCUAAAGCAAAUUAUAAUUUAAGACACAUAAGAAGUGGUACAUAGUAUAUGUUUUGAAGCGUGUUAAAGAGCGAAGUUGAAUGUUUAUGUGUAUUAAAUCUCCAUGAAGGUUGUUUUUAAUUGAGUAAUAAUGCAUUUUAAAGAAUAAUAUCAUGGAAUUUGUUUUCAUGCCAACUUAGUUUUUAUAAUGCAAAUGUUACUAUGUUAGUUUGGCUCAUGAAUUUAAGGACUGCAUUAAACAAAAAACAAUACACCUUAGUACACUUUUUAUAAAUAGCAAUGUUAUUUGAACAACCCUUUAUUGUGAUAAUUUUUUAUACAACCAAAUUAUAUAAAGGGAUUUAGAUAGUGGUACAAAAAUCAAAAUAAUAGAGAGAAAAUAGAAGAACAAUGUGAACAUGUUAAAGAAAAUUGUCAAAAAAUUGUUGUUCAAAUAUCAUUUCUCUUUUAUGAACUUCAAAAUUCAAACCAAACAUACAUUGCAACAACCAAUUGUGUGCAAUUUAUUUACAAUUGUAUAUUAAACCAUGGUAAAAGUGAUUUUUAUGUGUUAUACUUUUUUUGUUUGAUUAAUUUUGCAAAGCAGUUAUGUCAAGAAAGAGGCGAUCUAAAAUAUGCCAACAUUUAAUUUUAGUUCCUCUAAAAUAUUCCUUAGGUUUUUGGUCCCUCUAAAAAAUGUUAUUUAUGAAAUUAGUCUCUACUCUACAUUGAAUAUUACUCUAAAUUAUUUUGAGCCAUGUCAAAACAAGAUGAAAACUCAUUUUAGUGCCCGCCAAGCUUUAAACUAUUAAUUAAACUGAAAUAAUAAUAAAAACGAAAAUAUAUAAAAAAAAAAAAAAAAAAAAUGUGAUAGAAAUUUAGGGAGUUCUAAUAUGGUAAUGUGCUAAGUUAGAGAUCAAAGCUUUAAUAAUUUUUGUUUACUUAUUUAUUAAUUAUAUUUUUUAUUAUAUUAUGUCUUUCUUUUUUUUUUUGCUGUUAGGAUGAUCAAAGCAAAAAAUUGGUGUCUCGUACGCAAUCCAAUCAUGUACCAAGUCCAUAUUUCAGAGACUACUUAGAACAAGCUGGGUUUGAUCAUGUUUGUGAAAUAGAAAAUUAUAAAAUGGAUAAAGGUAUCCUAACAGCUCUAAUUGAACGAUGGAGACCGGAAACACACACUUUUUAUUUUCCGACGGGUGAAUGUACUAUCACAUUAGAAGAUGUAUAUAUGUUAUUAGGUUUAAAUGUUGGAGGUUUCCCUGUGACUGGUAUGGCAAGCAUUGGCUGGUCAUGGUGUAAAGAAUUAAUUGUUGGGAGUUGAAAUUCCAACGGAGGCGAAAGAUGGUAAUUUUUUGAAAAUACCGUGGCUAAAAAAAAUCUUUAUAGGUCUCACUGAAGAUGGGACAAAAAAAUACAACAUACUAGAGCGCACAUCCUAUUUCCAAAUACAUCUGGAGAUACAGUACAUUGUAGUUGGUUGACUCUGUUGUCUGAUUUUAACCAAACAAGGCAAUAUAGUUGGGGAUCAGCAGUUUUGGCUACCCUAUAGAGGCAUGUGCGAAGCAUCACAUCACAAGCUGGGUAUGCAACUCUGUCCUGAUGUACUUUUCUUCUACAAGUUUGGGCAUAUUCUAGAUCCCCAAACUCACAAAGAAUUCACAUUUCCAUUCGCAACAAAGUGAGUAUAAUUAAUUAAUUUUUUAGUCAUUUUCAUUUCACUUUUUCCCUUCAGAAAUUCAUUUUAACUAAGUUAUUGAUUUAUAUAUUUUUUGUUAGAUGGACAGGACGUGGUGCAAAUUACUAUAAAAAUCCAAGGCAUUCCGUCCAGAGCUUCCGGCUACUUCUUGACCACAUCCAACAUGAUCAAGUAAUAAAUAUAUCCUCACUUUUUCAUAUACUUCUUUUAAAAAAAUCAAUAUCACUAAACUAACCAAUCUCUUGUAUGCCAGUUUGUAUGGAAACCAUACCGUUAACUUAAGUAUGACACUCCAGAGGACUUUUGGUUAUGGACUGCAACCACAUAUCUUAUCUGUUUUGACAAAGUAGAAUGACAUUCAACAGAUAGGGUCAAACUCCAGUUUGGUUUGCCCCAAGAUAUACCAGCUCCCCCUAGGGACAUGCGAUCGUACCACCAUGUAGACAAGCGAACUAAGCAAUGGAACGUCUCAUAUCAAUCAUUAUGGCCAGAUGAGUACGAACAUUGCUUGAAUCGACUUCAAUUGGUUUUAGAUGGCAUGCCGCACCCCACGUGGAGAAGACCAACCGCCGAAUAUAUUCAAUGGUUUAAAACCAUAUGCAAUCCAAAUGUGCAUAUUUGUGAACAUCAUUGCCCUAGAGAAACACAGCUAACCACAACCACCGUAUAAUGAGCUGAGGAAUGUUGAUUGGGAAAAUCUCUAGUUAAAGGAUCAAAUUUAGAAUUCCUCUAUAUCUUUCGCACACUUGGCUGAAAACUGAGAAAUCCUAUGUUUUUGUUAAAUUUGUGUUGUAUACUCAUCUUCUUAUAAUGGAUGCCAUUAGUCUCAAAAGAAAUAUGAUUACAGUUAGAAACAUGAAUAUCAACAAUUAGAUUAGAUUGGUGUAAUGUUGUCUCUUGUGUAUAUGGCAUGAUUCUUGACGGUAUGCUUAGUUUAAUGUUAUCUGUCAUCAGAAUUUGAUGUUUGUUACUUUCAUAGUUUCCACCAUUCUUGGUUACAGCUAAAACUCUCAUUAUACAACUCAACAGUUGAAAAUUUGUAGUGUUAAGUUGCAUCAGUAUUUUUAAAAUUAAGAAUGGGUCAUGUCGUGUGCGUGAUCAGGGAUUUUUCAAGCUACAUGUGUUGACUUGUACUUAACUGGCAUGCUCUUGUACCGGAAAAAAUAAUACUUACGAAAAUAAUACUUACGAUUGAGAUAAACCGAUUAACUUGUUUGCAGCAGCCAACAGUGAUGAAAAAUGUUAUACUAUUGGUCUGAACCUCAAUGAAAAUGACCAUUUGGAUUGUUGGAAGAGUUGAGUUGCAAAAAAAAUAUUUACUAUUUAUUAGGGGGAUAGCUCAGUAUGCUGAUGUAGGCUCAUCACACUACAAUUUUUGAGGUCCCUGUAAAUGGCUUCAGAAUUCAAAUUCUUGAUAACCAUGAUUUAUAUUAGUGAAAUUGACUUGAGUUAUAGAUUACUUGUAAUACAAGCAAUAUUAUUGUCUUUCUGUUUGAUCCCUAAGAUCAUUAUGAUAAUAACAACUAUUACACUUCAAUCACUUUUGUUAUAUCUUUAAUAUUUUUUAAUUUUUUAUACAUCUUGAUUUUCACUGUUUAACAGAAUCACCAUUGGUAAACAUGUGGUGCUCAAGAGUCAUCGGCCUAUCUGGAAUUGGCUGAACUUCAAUAUCUCCUUCUAACAUCUUCAAUGCAUCCAAAAUUGUUGGCCUUGAAUCAGCUAUUACAUGAGAAGACAGAAUUCCAACCAGCAAAAACCUCUCCAUUAUAUUCCUACUAUUGGAUUUUCCAUCAUCCACCAAGAUAGAAGCAUCGAAAGCUUCUGCUAGGUUUCCUGAUUUCAUUAACGACCAAACCCAAUCCGUGAUCAAGAAAUUAGGUGUUCCUGAUGAAGACACCUCAAGAGCUUUUCUUCCACACAUAAUCUCCAAAACAACCACACCAAAGCUAUAGACAUCGCUCUUCCCGGUUAGCUGACCAUAGAGUGCAUAUUCUGGGGCAAGAUAUCCAUAUGUUCCAGCUACUCUUGUAUUUAGCUGCGACCUACUUUCACUGCUUUCUUUGGCCAGCCCGAAAUCUGCAACCCUUGCUCUCAUAUCUGCACCAAGUAGUAUAUUGGUGGCUUUGAUAUCUCUGUGAUAAAUAGCAGGUUUAACUCCAAAGUGCAAAUAAACCAACCCACUUGCCACAUCCAAGAUUAUGUUUUUUCUUUGAGGCCAAGUCAACAAUUUCUGUUCAUUUUCGUUGUCCAAUGAUGGAAAGAUAUGAUCUUCAAGGUUACCAUUUGGCAUAUAAUCAUAAACAAGAUACCUAUUUUUGUGCUCUUGAUUAUGAUCGUCAUCAACCACACAACACCCUCUUAAUGGCACUAGAUUGCGGUGUUUCAAGUUGCCAAUAAUCUCCACUUCGGUAUAGAACUCAUCAUCCCCUUGAAAAUCAGAUUCUUCCAUGCAUUUAACAGCAACAGUUGUGUCAUCAGGUAGAAUGCCCUUGUAAACUAUCCCAAAUCCACCUCUACCAAUAUAGUUUUGGAGCGAGAAAUUGUCGGUCGCCUUUACAAGGUCAUCAAAUUUGAACCAAAUUGAUCCUGUUUUUGGUCUCAAUCUUGGUCCGGACCUUUGUUCACUUGGAUCAGCAAGGUCUAGAAAAUUUUCAGUACUUACUCUCUUUAUCCUCCUAGUGUGCCAAAAAUAGUAGGCAAACAAAGAGAACAUGAUAACGAUGAAUCCGAUUGAAGCUCCAAUUAACCCAAAAACAAGAGCAUGAUAGCUCUUUUUUCUGGAACCCACUUGAGAGUUAAGAGGCAAUUCAAGAAUGCAUGACAUAGCACCGUUGCUUUCAGGGCCAAACUCAUUCACAACUCCAACAAUAUAAAUGAUGGUGAAGUAAAAGCAAUCUUUGGAAUGUGAACUAUUACCAUCAAUUUGAUUCAGCUUCUCUUGAACCUUUAGUCCCUGGUUAACACAUGCAUCACAAUUGGUAGAAACACUAAGGUCUGGUUUACAAGAAGUGUUGAACAAUGGUGCAGGACCAACCCUGCUGAUCCAAUCUUGCUUAGAUUGAACACGAGCGCAUAUGUUAGGAGUGAUAACAAACUGAAGUGGAUCAAAGCAUGAAGACACAAGGUCAUUGUUAAGUGAAAGGGAACUGAGCUUAGUUUGGAAGUCUUGAAGGCAUGAAGUGGAGGUAGGGAGAUUUGGGAGUUGGAAAAGAGAGUUCUUCUUGAGAUUUUUUGCUAGUGCUAUGCCAAAAAGAGACAACAAAGUUUGACAACAUAGAGUUGUUUGUGCUUUGUUUUGGGAUUGCAAGGGUUGGAAGUUAAGGCAUGUAGAGGUGUUCCAAGGAACUCUUAACACGUAAUUCAUGUCAACUGGACAUGAAGAAUUUUUGGUAAAGAGAGAGGGUGCUGCUGAGAUUGAAUUUGUAGCAAUAACAAAGAUCACUAGAACCACAAAAAUGGUCUCCAUAUGUAUGACACUUUAUGAAAAUUAUCUAAUUGUGCUGUCUUAAGGUUGUGUUUUUUGGGGGUAUUUAUGCAUGUGGUGUGAGAAUGGAUCGGGGGUAUAGUUGACUUGACUCAUUGACACUUGGUGAUACCAUUGUUUGGAAAAAUAAAUUCUACACAACAGAAGAACCGGUCAUGGUCAUGGUCUUGUUUCAUCAUUUAAAUUCUUGUUUAGCUAGAAAACUGAGUUCAACGCUGCAAUGAAUUUUGAGAAAAUGACAUGUGCCAAUAAAAAGGGUGAAUACACAUUUAAGGAAAAGUGAAUUGCUAAUUUUUUUUUUUUGAAGGAAAGUGACUAUUUUUUUUUUUAAAGUUUUUUUUAUAUGCUUGUUAAGUUUAUAGUGAGAUUUAAUUUUAUAAUAGGUGUUAUUUUGUUAUUGGAUGUGACUGGUGUUUAUGGAACAGGUCUAAUUUGACCUCAAUGAAAAUAAAGAUUUCAAUAGGUUAAUUUUUCAGAUUUGAUUUUUUAAAAAAAGGUCAUAGAAAUUUUAUUUUAAUGAUAGAAUUAAGAUCCAACUGGUGUAAAUGAAUGGUUGACUCAAAAUUAAGAUACAACCUAUAGUCUGGUCAGUUUGGAGCCAAUGCCAUUUUGAAAACAAUACCGUGGUAGACGUCAUUGAGCAAACUGAUGCUAAUUAAUGAGUUGGUUGGCCUUGAGGGUGAAUGAUAUUUGUGGAGGUUAUAAUGUGUCUUUCUGCACACCGCUCUAGUUGUGGUUAGAAGAAUUAAUAAUGCUCUGGAGGCUUAUGACAGGGCUGCUUGACUGGGUAGAGUGAAAUAAACCUUCAAUUUUGAUCUCUUAGAGUAGUAUGUUUCUGAGUUGAUUUUUGAAGAUUUUAAGAGGGUAACAUCUAUAUUUUGACAUAUAAUUAAUAUUUUUAAAAAAUUUAAAAAAACAUGAUAGUACAUGGCACAUAAGCUUCACCGGCGAAUUGCACGAGCAUGUACUUUUGACUACGCCCAGUUUCGUUUUUUUUUUUUUUUUGAUUGCUAUGCAUGAAUAUCUUCACUUCUACUACCCAACAAUAAUUAUUGAUUACCAUCAUACUUGACCAUAAUAACGAUGAUGUCAACAUUUCAUGCCCAAAAAUCAAGAACUUGAACUUCCAGAUAGCGGACGCUGUUGAGAAAGAAAAGGUGCUUCCACUAUUGUUCCAAUGAUGUUGUCUCCAACAAUUACACUGUCUCCUUCUGAAGCAGUCUGCCUCUUGAUGUAACCUAAUCCGAAGUGUUCCGAUGGCUUCCUUCCAGAGGCGUAACUAGUCAAUUUCCCAACCUGCAAAAUUUGCAAAAACCAUUAAUUUUCUGCCAGGCCAUUAGAGAGGGAAUUGUAGGAUUACAAAGGGCAUCUCAAUAUCACUAUCGCUAGCUUGCUAACUAAUUUACAAGAUGGUUUCUCAAGAUAAACGUUAAUAAUACAGAAUUUAUAAUCGGUUACUAUUAUGAUGCAUUUUGAACUUUGUCAAUGAUAGAUAUAGCCUUAAUAGAAAAAUUUAUAAUCAAUUUCAUUUUAAAUGUUCCUUAUCUAAUGUUAUAAUAGCAGUUUUCACAAGGUGUGGUUCAACUGGGAAUUUCUAUGGACUGUCCAUAUUUUCAACUAAAGAAGACAUUAGGUUUGAAAGAAAAAAAAUGUGAACAUUUUUUAAAAGAAAAUCAUAGCACCUUUUUUCCAUCAACAGUAAUAAUGCUACCAGGUUCUGCGGCUGCAGAAAGAUGAAAUCCCCAUAACCUUUGUUUGACUCCGUCAUAUGUUAUGAGCCUGGCUAUAGUCUCCUGUCCUUUGUAACAACCUGAGAAAAUCAGAAUCGGACCAAGUAUCAGGCAAGGCUUAAUAUUUUAUGCAGAUUGGUAGAGGAAAAAGAGCACUCAAUGUACCCUUGUUUAGAGAAAUUGAGUUCCAUAGACAGGCCUCCAUGACGUUGAAUUCGUUUGUGAGCUCCAUUCCAGGAGCAGGCCUUCCUGAGAAGUCAAGAUACAAUCAAAAUCAUAUUGAAUCAAUCAAACAAUAUAUAUACAUGAAAAAAAAAAAAAAAAAAGAGUAUAAAUUAUAUUUCAAAUGAUUUCAUUUUAAUGAUUUACCCAGUUUCAUUAUGCAAGGCUUUCAGCCUCAAAAAAUAUUACAUGCUUAGUAAUCUUGUAGGGGAAUCUGAACACUGGCUAUUUCUUAAACAGAAGGCAAGUUCGGCACUCCCGAAUUGACUUUCUCCGAAGCCAUAUGCAAUAAAGCCGAAAAAUGAGGAAAACUGUUACAGAUGUGGAGAAACUUUUGCCGGUAAAUAAUAACAAUGUAACAAGGAACAUGGCCGAGAUAGUUUGGAGGUUACGGUUUAUUGAAAUCGAUACAGGCCUAUAGGGAAGCGGCUCUGUUAAAUUCCAGAGCCUUUGAAAACACAUACAUAUACUUAUCUACGUACAUGACUUAGCAGCCAAGACUUCUAAAUUACAGCCCUAACCGGAUAUAGAAAGUGUCUAACUACUCAUUAUUAGAUAGAGACAAAUAAACUCCCUGAUAUGAAGGUGUGCGCUACUGGAGAACAGAAGGGAUGUAUAGGAUCAGGGGUUCCAAGGUGUAACAGAAUGGGCACGGCUUGCGUGAUAAACUGUAAGCGUCACAAUCAUUGUAUUCAGGAUAGAGUGCUGGUUUGUAGGAUCGUUCGAUCCUACGUCCCAAGGCACCUCAAUUGUGCUUCAACUUUACUCAGGUUCGUUUUUGCUCUGUUUUCCUCUGUUUGCUCUGUUUUUCUUCUGUUUUCUCUGUUUUUCCUCUGUUUUUUGUUUGUUUCCUCUGUUUCUCCUCUACUGUCUCUGUUAUUUUGCUUGGUUCCUCUAUUUUCUCUGCUUUUUUUCUCAAAUCUAUCAACAACCAACCGGUCCUACUUACGAAUCGUGUUACAACCUUCGCGUUUACGAUCUUUCACCAGCCUGCCGAUCCUACUUAAAAACUUGAACCUGACUACAUUGGUGGCAAUCAGGGGAUUUGGGAGGGAAAAUUUGUUACGGCUUGUAAUUGUAUAAGGAGAGGGAAAGAGAAAUGGGGAAGGAAAAGAGUGGUUAAAAAGAUCGUCGGAGAGUACAAUGCCUCUCAAAAGCCCGGGAUAUCUUGUUCUGAAUGUUCCAUUUUAAAUACAUCUUAAAGUUAUGGACAUACACUAUUGUCAGUUUUGGUAGUUGAAUAAUACAUCAUGCAUAUGUCAUUGUCACUUAAUCUGAUCCAGUUUCUAUCAAAUACAUAACUAAACUAGCAUUGCCAUUCGAAACAAAUAUACAUCCUUAAGAAAAAUGAAAGGAAAUGACUACAAGAUAUAGGCAUACAAUUGUCACCUACUCUAAACAAUUUAGUACCUUGGAUAACCCGCAACUUAUUCCAAGCAUUAGAACCCAUUGCAACAGCCCCUUGAGCAAGAAUAGCUUUCCAGACAGAUGGAGCAGCUGCCGGAGACAUCAUCAAUGAAAAACCACCUUCAGAAAUGAUAUUUCCAACUCCUAUAGUUAUAGGCUGCUUAUCAACCUACAAAUUCCAAAAUAUAUAUAUUUGAGAACUUUUAACAAGACUAUUAACAGAUAAUGUAGGUCUUUAAGCUUUUUACCAAAAAGGAAAGAUGAAAAUACUUGGUAUUGCUAUUGAAAUUUUACUGCUCCAGAAGCUGUGUAUAUUUAAGUUAAAUUUAAUAAUACAAGUUAUGCAAAAGAGGUAGCCAUAGGAUAAUAGGAAAAUGUUGCCAAAAGCAAAAGUCAGUAAUAUAUUAUCCAUGCCUUUCUUACAUAGGGAAGUAUUUGUGAGAAACAAAUACAUGAAGUAUAAAAGCAUGGAUGACACGAUUGAGCAUGUAAGGUGUUUUUUGUUAAAAAUAAGAAAGGUUAAGGCACACAGACAUAACUUUGCAGUCAUCAUCAAACAUACAUAACCAGAUAUAUCUUGUACGAGAGAAACUGAUGAUACCCAAGACAACUAGUAAUUACAAAGUUUACAAAAAAAUAACCAGUAAGAUGAAGCUUACAUAAAAAUGUUGAUGAGUGCCAUAUGGUUUUCCAAUAAGAUCACCUAGGUUCAAGCUUUCCAUCACCUGUUCAUGUAAUUAUAUUAAAAAUUUCCGACUCUGUCAUUCUCACAACUAAAUACUGUGAUAAUGUAUCUUACUUGGCCACUUUUGGGUCCCGCCAAAACAAAUAAGCUGGUUUGCUUCGUGAUAUCUUGAAUCUCUACCUUAUCAGCAAAAAAUAUGUACCUUGAAAUCAUUCCAUAUAAAUCAUUUAGUUAAUGUUUUUGAUAAUAUUCAUCAGGAAUGACAAUUAGUUGUUCUUUUAUCUUAUUUUUGGUUUAACCUCCGUCGGAGAAUCCUAACAGUACAAUAUAUAAGGCACUUACUUGUUCAGCAUUUCAGUAAUGGUCCUAGAAGUCUCUGCUGAAACCACUAACGUUAUUGCAUUUUUCUGUCAAAGCAACAAGAGAAAUUAGUGUAAAAAAUGAAAGCUAAGAUAUAUUACAUUGUAGAGAAGACAAGUAAAAAAUGAAUUUUGAAAGAGAGAUAAAAAGAAAAUUACCAUGAUCCAUGCAUGUGCAAUAUCUAUAGUUCGAGCUGUUGGUGUUACAAAAACAGUGUCACAUCCCUAGGGAUUUCAGUUAGAGAUCCGAUUACUUAAUCCUGUAUUUAUAAUAUGAAAUAUAAAAAUGAAUUGACAAGAAUUUGAAAUUGCAAAUAAAACAUAAAUGCAGUCAAACAAUGCUACAUUCUUCCACGUACUUGCCCUGCCUGUAGACCCUCAAAGUUUGCAGUACUCUGGUUGUGAAGGAACUGAACUCGAUCAUCUCCACUAACUGUAUUUCAAGUCAAGUUAUCCAAAAUAUUCGUGUUAAAAUUAAGAAAGCAUAAAAUCAUGUUAAGUACAAACUCUCCCAAUUGCUUACACUGUAUGGAUUAAGAGUAACUGAAAUUUGUAAAAUAUUUAAAUUUAAAAGUUUUGGGAGGGUCUUCCUUGUGAAUGCAUUGCUCUUAUGUGGAAACUGGAAAGGCAAUUGUACAGAAAAUGCAAGUACCUCUUAUCCGGCCGAAGUGUGAAAGAUCCACAACCUAUGUUAUUAGAAUGAACAGAGAAUUAAAUUAAGAAGACAACUGAAUCCAUUAUCUAAGAGAGUGGUAAUGUACCUAGAUAAGUAAAUAAACAUGCAUUAAAAUAUAGAACUUUAACACUGUAUUAGGUUAAAUAAAAAUCAACAGCAUGUUACUGCAAAAUAUUAUGUAUAAACUGUGAAAUUAAUUCACAAGCCUGAGCUAAUAUCAUCCCAAGCCCAUUAAAGUCAUGUAAGCUAGUUGACUUAUCAAAUUUCAUAGUACAAGACAAGAGUUUUAAGCAAAACAAGAUACAAGUAUGAAGCAUCUUUAGAACCAUAAAUUAAUCAACUCAAGGAACUAGAAUAAGUACAGAAUUAGAAUAGGCAUUGAUUCUGAUCAUUCAUAUUCCUACAACCAAAUGAAGAUGCACGUGCAAAGAGAAUGAGAACAUGCAUUUAGCUACAGGCAUAAAAAAAAUAAGAAAAUAGAAUGCUUACAACAACCCCAUUGUCUGCGGCGUCCAGUGCUUCUUCAUCGUUAUGAAAUGUUUCAACGAUCCCUUCCCCAGAAACCUCGGCACCUGCAGUUUUGACAGUGUCCUACAACAGUAAAGGUAAUAAUUAAACAAUCAAAGGAUAAUUAUUUGGGUAUCAAGAAUCCGAUUAUGCUUAGUCUCCUUAAUUUUUUUGCUCUCAAGAAAUAUCAUUUGGGUAUUUUAAAAAAGGCUUAAUGUUUUACAUGUUGUAAGAAGUAAUAUUGUAAUAAGAGGAAAUAAGGACAUAUCAAUAGACAGCUGUGUAAAAUUGGCGUACAAACUCAGUGUAUAUUCAUAGUUAUCAAACUCAAAUUAAUCCUUGUACCAGUGUAAAUUUUUUCUCUUUUCUUGAAGAAAUGAAAAGGCUUGUACAUAUGCACUCAUACUAUAAGCGCAUAUGGAACUAGUGUUUGAUUGAGUUGUUUCUUCAAACACCCCCUAAAUUGAAAAUGACUAUCAUGUAUAAGAACCAUAGGUGUAGGUUCUCGAUCCUUGUAUAUGAUUAUGAUGCCUACAAGGAGCUUAUGAAAGUAACUUUGAGCAUAUCAUAAGCUAAAUUUGUAAGUUCUGAAUCCUAUCUCACAGCCAUUUUAGUAGCUGAGGUGGGGAGGACAAAACUAAAAAGUAUUGUUUUGUUUUUUUAAAAGUAUUGUGCGUAGUGUCUAAAUAGAAAACUUUUGUCGUUGAAGAACGUAAUCCCUGUCAAUGAAAAUAGGAGGGCACAGCCGUGAUGAAAGAAAAUGAUAUAUCCGGAUUCAUUAACACUUGAGGUCAAUUACUUGGUUAAUGACAUGUGCACUCCAAACUUUGAAAAGGUAAUUUUAUCUAUCUAUUAUUCUCUAUCAUCAAAUCAAAGUAUUGAAUACCAUUCAUUCUUCUUAUAUAGAAGAGGAGUGUUAUUUGAACAACCAUUUGGUGGACAACUUAUGGGACAACCAUAAUUUACAAAGAAAAAGUAGGUAUUGACACGAAAAUCAAAGCAAUAAAGAGAUAAAGUAAAAAUAAUGUGAGUAUGAGAGAGAAAGUCGUCAAAAAAUGGAUAUUCAAACUUCAAAUAUCAUUUCUCUAUAUAGAAAAUGCAUAAAUAAAAAAUUAUAUAUUCUAUAUGUAACCAAACAAAUGAAUUCAACAGUAAAAUUUACUAUUAUCUCAAAUCACCAUCCAAAGUACAAUCUACUUAUUUUAUAUGAAUCUUCAGGAUAAUCAACUAGCAUAAGAAAAUAGAAUAAAUAAAUAAAAAAAAUGAUAAUUGAGAAGUGUUGGAAAUUACCAGGAAGUCAUGGUCGAUGGGUGGAGGAGAAAGGUCAAAAGAUGAAGAUUGAGCAGAAAUAGAGUAAGAAAUUUGAUUCUUGUUCUUCUUGUUGCGUUGGUGAGAGCAGAAACUGAGGUUUGGGAGUAAACAAGGUUUGAGGAAUAGUGAAGAUGGAGACCAUGGUUGGUUUCGAAGGUUGAAGCAAGAUGGUAGUGACAGUGUUGUCAUCGCGAAUUAGGUAAUUGAUAACAGAGUAAGAAAAACACACGCACACUCUUUUCCUGUGUGCAGUUUUUACCAGAAUAUCAAAUUUAGAACAAGAAGGAGAGAGAGAGAGAGACAAACAUGAGUUUUGUUAUGACUAAUGAUAUAUUUUUAAUACUUUUUUUUUUUAAGGAAUAUUUUUUUAAUACUUAUUAUUAGGAAAUUUCUACGAUACAUCCGCAAAAUAAGAUGUACCGGUACUCUUAAUUUAAAAAUAUAUAAAUUAACUAUCAUUUUUUUGAAAUAAAGAGCUAUUUGUUGAUAUUUAUAUUUUAAAAAAAUAUUAUUUUAUAAGAAAAACAUCAUUUCAUUGUUUAUAAAAAUCAUACUAAUUUUUUUUUACAUUUUAUUGUAAAAUAUAAUCAAAAUUCUCUAUUAUGAGUACUAAAAAUUCAGAAAAAUUAAAUUGUAUUUCGUCGACGUUUUUGGUAAAUAAGAUUUAAUUAUUAUAAUUAUAGGUGAUAGAAAACAAUUUUUCUUUUCAAAAUAUAACAUAUUUAAUUAUUAAUUUAAUAAUUUGGUGUACCGAUAUACUCAAAUUUUUAGAUGUACCAUAAAAUUUGUCUUGUAAAAAUCUUUUAAAAAUCAAACUAUUAGCCUAAAACCAUGAGUCAUAGUCCAACCGCCUUAAAUCGGUUGAACUAGAACAAAAUCGUGUUCGUACCUAGUUCAAGAUUCAACCGGUUGAUUUGUCUUAUUUAGUAUAAAGAGUAAUAUAUUAAAUUAGAAUUGGAAUCUAUGUAAUUAGAUUUUUUGAGGGAGUAUAUACUAUAUAUGUAAUUAAUUAGAAGUAUAUGUGAUGUUUUACAAAAUACUAAUGUAUUUCUUUAAAUACACUUUUUUUGAAGGGGUCUUUAAACAGUUCGCAUAAAUUUUUUUUACUUUUUACAUAAAAAAAAGUUUAUUUAUAAAGAACUUUCAUAUAGCAUAUUUGAAUGAAUAUUAUAUUUUAGAGAUUAUUAUAGAAAGUAAAGUUGAUUUGUGUUUGAAUAAAUAUUAUAUUUUAGAGAUUCUUAUCAAACUACACUUAUUAAUAUCAUAUUUAUUUUAACGAGAAAAUUCUUUUAUUAGAUUUAAAUUCUUUUUUGGUGAAUUUUAAUAGAUAUAAUCUACAAAUUGUUUUUUAUAAUCCAAUAGCGUUUAGAUGAGAUGACACGAGUUUCUUAUUAUAGAUAAUUUAACGUUCAUUUGGGUCCAACAAAAUUCGAGGAAUUAGUCUCCACAUGUAGGAAACCGGUUUACACCAAAAAUUGUUUCCUAUAAUUACAAAUGUUUGAUUGUUUGUGAGAAAAUUACCCCUCCCUCCCCCCCUCGGGAGAUGGUGAUAUUCCACUACCCUCCCCUCAUAGUUUCAAACACACACUCCCCUCUCUUGAUAUUUACAAAAUGUUACAUUUCAUCAUUUUUUAACUUUUUCCGUUAAGUCUUUUAUAGUUUCCGUCACUUACCUAAGAAUAUUAUACUCUCUCACGUGCUAUGACUCAAAUUUUCCCUGUCAAAAUAAUCGCAAUUACUAGUUUAUCUGAUGUGAAGGGAUUAAUGGCAUAUUGGAAUCGUAAAUUAUACAGGUCUUUUUGCUUGAAUUUCUAUUACAAAUUUCCAUCUUCAUCAAAAAUAUUUGAAUUGAUCUCUUGAGUACUCCAACUACCAAAACUUAAAUUCUUCACUAAAAGGUAUAAAGCCAACCAUAACUUACCGUCUACCUAAUUCUUUCUUACCCUUCUCCAUACUUCUUCAAGCAUACGAGAGUGUCAGUGAUGUUCUGUUACCGGUUCUGUCAUGUUCCCUAUCGACAAAAUUAGGAAGAAAUUAGGCAGCGGUGUUUCUUUUUUUUAGUGUAAUUGCAGAUUUGCAGUCAAUCCACGUUCCAAGCAGGAGGAAAAGGAUCGAAAAGAAAUAAAAUAAAAUAAAAUAAAAACAUGGUUUGACAAUUGUUUUAACGGAAGUUAAGAAAAGUUAACAGAAAAUCUAAAAUUGGAUCAAAUUGUAUUACAUUUUAUUUAGCAAGUGAGGGGAGUGUGCAUUUUCAAACAAGCGGGGAGGGAGUGUAAUAUUAGUAUCUUUUAGGAGCGGGGAGCGUAUUUUACUCACUGUUUAUUUACAUUUACACACUGUUUCCUAAACAUUAUUUUACAAUUACUAAAAACUUUAAAAAUCUGAGAAGAACCUUGUUUCCCUUUGAAAUAUAAAGUUGAGAAACACUUAGAACCACAAUCACUGACUGGCCUGUUAAGUGAACACCUAACAAACACAACCGUCAUAAAACUUUACACGUGUGUCUUAGGGUAAGAAAUAAAAAAUUACUACGAUUUCUACCGGAGUUUGGAUGACGUGCUCAACAUUGGAUGGCAAGCUUAGUCCAUAGUUAAAUGGAAUCCAUAUUGUCAAAUCCAGCUACUUAAUGGUCGCACUUUUGCCUAGUUUCAAUCGCAUGUGCAAUGGAGUUAGCAUACUUGUGAAACUGCAACAAUCGAAGCAUAAUAAGUCAAUUAUUUAUCAUUCACUGUCACAAUAAACAAUGCAAGAAUCAUCACUCAAAAUUGAAAAUCAACAUUGCAGUGUGGUUAACAAGGAUUCGCGCUCAUUUGACAUGAUAAACAGUAAAAAAAUAUAUAAUCUAUUUACCAAAAAAACAGAAAAAGUAAAAUCUAUGUGAAAGUUGCAACUUGCAACUGACAUAGAGCAACUUUGAAUCUCAGUUCUAAUUUCCAUUUUCCUAUUAUGGUAUGGCUGCAAUUUGAAAUUUUGAAGCCAAAUAGGGUCUUAGAAUUUUUAGACCACACAUGCUUCCAAAAUAGGAUAAAUGGCCACAUACCUCUUUUUCUAUCUCUUCGCAUUUACUAUCUAACUGAUCCACUUUUUUUGUUGCAGAUUCUUUUGCCAAGGUAAUUCUACUAUUUACCGCAUCCACCUGUCAAUUGUAAACAAAAAAUAACAAUUUAUUCUUUCAUCAAACUUAAUGACUUAAUAUGAAAUAAAAUGCAAACAAUUGCCUAACGAAUACUAGUCACCUAGUGGAUGAAUGGUUUGAACCCAUGCCCUUCAAACCCUCUCAUACACAGAUCAAAACCAGUGUUGACGGAGAUAAGAAGUAACGUUUUCUUUAGUUAUGGGUGUAUUUAGGGUUUAUACUUUCCAUUAGAGAUUAUAUUCCAAUUAAUAAAAGAUACCUUUGAAUACUCAGCCUCAACAUGUCUCCUUCUUAUUUCAAUGUCACAGCUCUUUGCCAAAUAGUUUCAGAAUACAUAUUAAACAGUUUUACAAGAUUAGUAAAAUUGUUUACAACAACAGCAACAGCAAUAGCAACAGCAACAACAACAACAUGAUAAAAAUCAUGCCUCAGUGAAAGGUAAUUAGCGAACACCAUUUGGAAAUGGAAUACCAGCAUUGCGUGUUUGCACAAGAAUUUACUAUAACUUUGCCUUUCAACAAAGUUGACCUCAAGGGACUUAUCCAUAACUUCUUCUUCAUCAAGUUUAGCCUUUAAUGCUUUAUGACCCUUUUCAAUAGAUUUAGCUGAAUAGGCCUAUAGGAAGGUCUAAAGAAUCAAACGAGAGGUUUUGCAAAAAAACUAUCUUUGAAUGAAGAAAAAGCCCACAGAUCAUAGUAGAAUAUCUCAUAUCUCUAAUACAACAUUUCCAUCAUGUGCUCCGUUCAAAUCCAAAAAUAAAAAGUUUUUCCUUUUUUGAUAUACAGGGGAAAAUUCAUUACAAAAAUUUCAAUCAUCGUGCUAAACAAAGGAGCACGGGUCAAAUAACAAGAGGACAGGGAAUACCUGUUCUUAUAUAGCCUGCACCUUCUUGUAGUGAUUCGACAUUUUCUUGUAUACCUGAAAAGGAUUUGAUAAAGUGAUCUAUAUUAUCUAUGACAAAACAUUAUGUUAUGAAAAAAGUCAUAAACCCAAAGAGAUAUAGAUAAUUUUCUGGAAUGAGUAAAUGGCUACAGUAUCAGUGUAAUCAGAUAUUUUUAACCAAUAUAAAUAAUGUUGAAAAUUGAGUGACAACAUCUAUUAAGUAAAUGGACACAGUAUCUAUUAAGUAUAUUAAGUAAAUUCUAUUAAGCAGAUUAGGUACUCAGUACUCUAAUUAUUCAAUUUUAUGUUCAUGUUUAUUCUUUAAGCCCCAUUACAAGGGAAAAUUCAAUUUGCAUAAGUCCAACGCAGUUUGGCCGAUGGCCCCACCAAUCAUAAAAACAUAUCAUCUUAUUUAUAUCAAGGGAAUAAUUAGGAAACAAAGAUAAAUCAUACCUCAUGGAUAUUUAAAGUACCCAGUGUUUUGAUAUUGAAACAAAUAAAAUUCUAAAAACACCAUAUUUUGGAAUGGAGGGAGUCAUAUCCGGUGACAACAUACCUUGGCAUAAACUUCAACAAGGGCAGUCUUCUUGUGGAAAUUGUGCAUGACUAACCUUUCAGCAUUUCUUGCCUUCUCUCGAGCUAAUUUCUUUUCCUCCAAAGCCCUCUUUAUGCAAGACAAGCAAAUUUAAAUAGGUAGAGACAGAAAAUAAAAUCCUAUAUCUACGCAGGAAGAAAAUAUAAUAUAAGCAUGCAGUUUUUUAUCAUCUUAACAGUGAUAAUAUUUUUAUUUGCUAAAAUAAAUUUUAGUCUCUCUAGUUUCCACCUGCUUCCGAUUUAGUUUCUACAAUUUCUUUUCAACUCAAUUAUCAAACUUACAAACAUCUUCAAAAUAAUCUCCACCGCCAUUUUUCAUAUAUGAUAUCAUCAAUUCAGCCUUCACAGGACAUUCAGUAAAAAAGGUAUCAAAUGAGCAUGCAUUGAUUUAAAGGAAAAGAGACAUUAUUUCAAACUACCAACGUUUUCCAAUGUGGUAAAAACACAAAAGUAAGCACAGUCCAAUAAAACACAAAUACAAUAUUCGCACAGGCAGAUAGGGUGGAGAAAUCAAAGUACAUUACAUUGUGUACCAACUAGAAAGAAUGUAAUAAGUUUGAUUUUGAGAACAGAAUAGGCUAUAUUUUUUUUAAAUGUAUAGAAUAGACAAAAAACUAACAUGGAAAAAAAAUAUUGGCAACUGAUUCUAAUGAUUGGAGCUAAUCAAAUGAAAAAGAUACCUGUACUUUAUCAGGCGACUGAACAAUUUUUGAAUGUAGAUUUGCAUUCUCUUGAACACUUUGUAUCAGUCUAUAUUCAGCAUCAGAAAUCUGGAGUGACAAAAGGAAAAUAGAAGUUGUCAUCAAGUAAAAUAAUAUAUCACCAAAACCAGCACAAGAAUUAAUAUACAAUGAACUAAUCCGGUUAAGCUUUAAUUGUUGAUUGUUACCAGACAAAAAAAUUAAUAGUGAACACCUUCCAAAACUGCAGCUUGCAAUAUAUGUGCAAGUUACAUAUCCAACAUAAACUAUUCACACAAGCUUCUCAUCUACUAAUCCAAAGGUUCAAUGUCCUAAUCCCACAUGAAUUGCUCACGUAGACUUUUAUCCCUCUAAUGAAAUCUAUUACAUAUACUAUUCGAAAACCUCAAUAUCAAGUAAGACUAUGUAACUCAUCAUGCUAACUUGCUAAGUUUCUAUUAUUGGUCAAAGCAUAUUAAGAUUGUAUUCCAUCAGACAACAACAAACUCACCUUAUCAUCCAUUUCCACAGUUUUCUCCUUCAACUUCUUUAAAUCAGUCCUCAACGACAUUUGUUUGUUGUUCAGGUUUGCAAUAUUUUGACGCAGCUCUUUCACAUGUGCAUCGACCUCCUGAACAUAAGGCAUCUCCCUUCCCCUCGCUUCCUUGCAUUCGUCAAUCGCCAAUGUCAACUAUAACAUAAUGAAAAUCAAUCAAUCAAUGAAAUACCAGUACCAACACACACAUUAAAUUAUAUCUAAAAAAAAUAAAAAUUUUAUUGUUAUGAGUGUAAUCUAAACCUGCAUAAUCCUAUCCUCUUCAAUCUUGGCUCUCUCGUCUUCCAAAGUGUUGAUUUCUUCAAUAAUUGGUGAUGUGGAAUUCAUCAUCUCAUUCCUGAUAUUAUAAAACAGACAAUUAGGUCAUGUUUCAGUUUUUUUUUUUUCUUCUUCUUCUCUUUUUGCUUACUCGGUCCGGUCACUUAUAAGCAAAAAUUUACCUUUUCAGAUUCAUUGUGUAAUCUAAAAAAAGUGAAUUUUUGCUUAUAACUGUGAACGAAGGGAGUAUCACAUUAUUUGCUUAUGUGAUGAUUUUACAGAAGUGGUUGAAGAAGUGAGAGUAACCAAUGGAUGCAGAAACUGAGAAGUGCACCGAGGAAAAACUCAGUUCGACGAGGAUCAGGUUUGAGAAGAUCAGCAAAGUUGAAUGAAUAUUUCUGAGGACAUUCAAGAGCAUUAAGCAUUUCUAUGAUCUUGUUGUACAGCUUAAUAACAGGAACCGCUCCAACGUGAAGAUCGGGAUUCUCAAGAUGCUCUAGGGCAUUGAACUCAAGCUGUUCGUCGUAUUCCCUGUGAGAAAUGAAAGAGAGAAACGCAUUGUGAAAAAGAGAAUAGAAAGGAAGCGUGUGAAGUGAAGAUUGAAGAGAAGAAAAGAGAUAGUUACUCGGGGAGGAGAUAGUUGAGGAUGUGAGUAUAAAGAUGGAAAACGACGCUGGAUUUAGGGUUGGAUAAUUUGGAUUUGAACCCCAACAUGUAAAUAACUGGUGUAACGCCCCGUGCCAAACACGGGAUACAUUUUAUUUAAAUUUUUUUAAUAUGAUUUAAAUUUUAACAGAUUUUUUAAAUAUUAUUGUUUUUGUUUAUUUUUAUCCAUAAUUUUGGCGUUAUGUGGUAUUUUAUCUUCGUAUUUAAAAUUGAACAAUAAAUAAUCAUUUAUUGAGAUCAAAAAGUUAAAUUUUAUAGAUGACUAUUUUUGUAAGAGUGAUAAAAUAAUCAACAAAAGUACAAUUAAACCCAAAAGAUAAAAAUACUAUAAAUAAUUAAUAUAUUUCUAAAAAAUUAACUAAUUAGUAAAUGGAUAUGAUUACCUAUGGUUAGCUUUGGUUUAUCAGUCAUUCAAUAUAUCAAAUGGGUAUGAUUACCUAUGUUUUAAUUUUUCACUCUUAAUAAAAAUAUUAAUUUUUUAUUUAAUCACAAUGAUCUCUAUGAUCGCAAUUAUAAAUAAAAUAAAAACCUAAAUUCAAAAUUUUAGUUACAUCUAUUAUUUUAAUUGGUUUCAUAAAUAAUAUUCAUUGACAUUAUUUUUUUAAUUUAUCAAAAUAAGCACAUUUUUGAAUAAAAUUUACCUCAUAAAUAUAUGUAUAUUUUGUAUUUCAUUAAAAAAAAAUGAAUUUUUAUGUUAAAUUUUGAAUAUAAAAAAAGCAUUAACAAAUCAUGUUUGGUUUUAUAUUUGUGAACAAAAAAUAAGUUUAAAACAUAAAAACAAUAUUUUUAAAAUAAUAGGUUAUCGCUAAUUAUUCACACUUAGGAAAACUUAAUUUUUGUAUUUACUUUAGAAUUUGUGUAAAGUUUAAGACAUAAGUAAAUUGUAAAUAUGAAAACUUUUUUUUUUUUUUAUUGAAGUGUCAAUACAUGCAACAAAAACAAUUUGUUCAAUUGAAAAUUGAAAUUCCCAAGAGAAUAAAAGAGGUGCCCUACAUCACCAUACAAAAUAACAUUAUACCAAAUGGUGUACAAACUUUACCAAAAUAGACCUGUAAUAAAAAAAUAAAAAAAAAACCUUAUUAACAUUCUUCAACUCCUCAAUAGUGGUUCUAGGAGUAAGUAAGAGAAACUCCUCAUUUACAGGUAUGCGAGAUGAAUUUGGUAACUGGAUCAAUCCCGAUGCAGGAGAAUUUGUAUUUGCACUAAGAAAGAGUAAAUAGUCAAUUUCCCUCCUGAAAUUGUAAGUUUCAUCAAUUACCCCCUGAAAUUAACAAAACUUCAAUUACCCCCCUGAAAUUUCACAACGUUAGUCAAUUUACCCUCUCCGUCAAAUUUUUCUGUUAGUGAACAUGACGUUUUGCAAAUACCCUCCUGAAGUUUUGCACUUAUGUGCAAAAUGCCCCCCAAACUUAAAAAUUUAUAUUAUUUUUUUCUUAAAAACAAACAAUUAAUAGUUAAAUAUUAAAACUAACUAUUAAUUUUGGAAUUUGGGAAAACUAUAUGCAUAUAUACAUCAAAAUAGGCUCCAAAAUGGGGAAAAAUAUGUAUUUUUUAAAGUGACAAUAAUGGGAUGAUUUGUGGAUUAAUAUUGGGGGUUGUGUAGUUUAAAUGGUUUGAGCAAAUUGUUGAAGGAGUUGGAGGAGUUAAAAGACUAAGAUGGUGAAGGAGAAAAUAUAAAUUUAAAUCUGAUUAUUAAUUUGUUUAUAAACCUCUAAAAAUAAUAAUUUGUCUAUUAGAAAUAACCAUUAUUGUCACUUUAAAAAUACACAUUUUUCCCUAUUUUGAUGUAAAUAUGUAUGUAGUUUUUCCAAACUCCAAAAUUAAUAGUUAGCUUUAAUAUUUAACUAUUAAUUGUUUGUUUUUAAGAAAAAAAUAAUAUAAAUUUUUAAGUUUGGGGGGCAUUUUGCACAUAAGUGCAAAACUUCAGGGGGGUAUUUGCAAAACGUCAUGUUCACUAACAGAAAAAUUUGACGGAGGGGGUAAAUUAACUAACGUUGUGAAAUUUCAGGGGGGUAAUUGAAGUUUUGUUAAUCUCAGGGGGUAAUUGAUGAAACUUACAAUUUCAGGGGGGAAAUUGACUAUUUACUCCACUAAGAAAGCUAUAAUAAAAAGUAUCAAUCAAUAAUAUUAUAACUUAAGAAAAAAAAAUGUUAUAUUAAAAAAUAUAUAUAUACCUUUUCCUUAGUUCCUUUGUUUCACCAAUUUCAGGAUUGAAUGUGAUUCUAGUGGAAGAAAGUGCAUUUUGCAAUGCUGGUUUUCCUAUCAUUAAGAUUCAAAAGUAUAUGAAUCAAGUAUAUAUAUUCGUAUAAACAAACAAUCACAAUUGCUAGUCAUAAAUUAUUACCUUGAAACAAUUUAACUUUUGUCAACAUAAUGGCUACAACAACAUUUUGAGAUUCAUCGGACGAUAGGAGAGAGUUCAACUCUUCAACAUACUCUCCAAAAAGAGUACAUUUAAAACGGUACCUAUUUAAAAUUGUCAAAGAUUAUACAAAUAUUAAUAAAAAUACUAUAAAAUAGGUCUUAAAAAAAUUACAAUUACAAAAAAUAAAAAAUCAAACCUACCCAUUUGAAUCCAAUUCAAUGACAUUCAUUUUAGUUUUUGUACCUUCUCUUUCGUACUCUCUUUCAACUCCAACUCCAAUUAUGACUCCAAUUACAUCUGCAUAUAUAACACACAUUAAAAUUUCGAUCAAAUUACUAUUUAUUAUUAAAAGAAUAUAACGUACAAUUGAAUCAUAUUAAACAAAACAUUUUAUUAAUUCAAUAUAUAAAUUAUUGUGUUAUUUUUGUAAGCAAAAAUAAUAUUUUAAAAAAUCUACAUGAAGAAAAUUAUAGUCACUUACCAACUAAGUAGUUGUUGUCGUAAGAUUCAUUGAAAACAUCAGGUGCAGGUGUAAACGAAUACACGUUUAUUGGGACCAAAAUAGUUUUAGAUAGUUUGACUUUUGUGUUGAUUGUGAAAUUCAGUUUGUAUUCGUUGUGUGAUGGUCGAUACGAACCACUGUUGCUAGCAACAUCAAAUGAGGAAAUCGUGAACACCAUUCCCUCUUGGAGUUGCUCCUUGAACUUGUAGAUCAAUGUUCUUCGUAUAGACGCACCAAUUUGAUCACCCUAGAUAAAAAAGAUGAGAACACUAUACUUUAAACAAAAAAAUACUAAAAAAACAAAAAAGAAAAACGAUAUGAAAAAGGUACCUUUCGAUCUAUUAGAACAAACUCCAUGGAAAAUGGUAGUUUUUUAUUUUUGUAGUCUUGACCAAACCAAGCACGAACAACCCUCACAACCAAUGUCCACGAUUGUUUUCUUGGCGAAACAUUAGAGAUGAAGUCGUGUUUCGUAGACAUUUUCACUUGCAAUAGAAAAAUUACAGAAAUAGUUUAGAAUAUAGAUAUCAGAGCACCAAAGAACAGAAAACGAAGAACUAUAUUUUGUGAUUGUUGUGUACUCAUAUCCAAAAUCUCCACUAUUUAUAUAGAAAAAUAGUACCAUAACGGUUAAUAUAAAUUAAUUAUCAAUUUAACCGUUUUAAAAUUAAUAUUAUCAACGUCUUUAAUAUUAUAAAACGUGCAUUAAACGAUUAAAUUAUAUUUCAUGUAACGUACAAAAAAUUAACUUCAUAACAUUUGAAUUUUAAUUUAAUAUUUAUUAAUAUCUUAUAAAUAAUUAUGUAAUAUAGUUUUGUAACAAACAAAAAUUAAUUAUAUAACCUUAAAAACUAAUUAAUACAAUUAAUUUUUUAAUUAGUAGGUUAAUGCCUUAGUGUAACGUCCCAAAAUUCAAAAUAUAAUUUAUUCAGUUUAUUUAUUAUAAUUUUGUAACCAACCAAAUUUUGAAUGUUACAUAUAAAUGUUAAUUGAAUACUAAUUAGAUUAAUAGUUAUUUGAUUUGUAACGUUCAAAUUUUUAUUGUAAAAUAUAAAUUUUAAUCGAAACAGUAAUUAUAUUAAUCAUUAUCUGAUUGUAACCAACUAUUUACUUUAUAUACAAUUUAAUGUUAAAUAAAAAACGGUUUUUAAUAAUAAUUAAAAUUAUUAAGCUUGUAUUAAAAAUUAGGAGGAAUUUUGGGAACAUAUGCCAAGUAGGCUUUUGAUGAGGUGGACAUCCUUAGAGGAAAGGAAUUUAAAAUAGACUAUUUCUAAAAACUCUAAAUUGUUAGUAUAAAGAUAUCUCUUAGGCAUGGCAAUAGGGCCGGGUGUGUACGAAUUUCACCUUCCCUGUUCCCAAUCUCAACUCUCGUAUAUUUAUCCAUUACCUUACUCAUAGUCAAUGAGAUAAGAAAUUGAAUCUCAUUCACGUUUUGAGAGGUUCGUGUUUCCAUGUCAUGUCCCUGUAUUGAAUGUUUUUUUUUUAUAUAAACAAAAGUUUUUUUCUAGCCCCAAUGGUAGUGUUGUAUACGUUAUCCAGCAAUAUGCUUUACUUUUAUAAAUCGGAUAACAAUGACAUAUCAACCCUCUAAAAAAAUGACAUAUCAACAUAUACCCAAAAUAUCAAUUUUUUACGUGACAAAUUUGGGUAUGGGUUCGGGGUGGUUACCUAUAUCCUGCUACCCGUUCCAUACAUAUGUCUUGAAAUCGAGGAAAACUCAAAUUCAUACUCAUACCUAAUCAAAGCAAGAAAUGGGUUUGGAUGGUUAACUAUGGACACGCGCGAGUUUUGCUCUCAUGUCUAAUAUCUCUUAUAAGCAUCAAGUGGCUUACACUUAUUGAUCAUAAAAAUUCAUAAUUAUUUAAUUUUAAAUAAUCUUUGAAGUGUAUUUAAUUUUAAAUAUAUACUUAAAUUUAUGCAUAAAAAUUAUAACAUACACCAUCAUUCUUCCCCUAAACCUUUUAACUUCAUUGUCAUAUUUUUUAUUUUAAUUAUUUUUUGAACAAGCCAAAAUUGAAUUAUAUAACCAAACAAAAAGUAGAUUAUAAGCACAAGGUGUGCCUAGAAAACUACUGCAGUACAAUAGAGUAAGUCAGUAAUGGAAGGUGGGCAUACAAGUGUUUAGCCAAUGCCCAAACAAGCAAAAGGGCUUGACCAUCACGCGUGCCAAAAACAAACAUUACAUUUUUGGCUUUAAGCCACCCUAGAGACAACAAUUUAACCUUGUCUAACAGACGGGGGACUACAGUUACAACAUUAUUGAACAACCGGUUGUAUCGUUCGUUCCGUACAACCCAAGUACACAGAAGCCAAAUUAGCUGCAGGAAUGAACGUUUAACUUUACCAGGACCUGUCAUCAAUGUAAAUUGCAACAAAUGAUCGGAAAUAUUAUUAGAAUCGACCCCCACAAAACCAAUCCAUUCACGCAUAUGCUGCCGUAACGAUGCAAAAGUUGUGCAAUUAAGAAAUAAGUGUUCGGCUGUUUCAACGUGGCCACAUCCUGAAACACAAUAAGACGCUGAUGUUGGUAUAACCCCGCGAAUUGCUAAAUUAUCUUUGGUUGGUAAAUGAUCAUGAAUGAGCCGCCAAAGAAACACCGACACCUUCAAAGGAACGAACCUGAUGAUGCCAAACCAACUUCAAAUUAAAAUAUUGCUUACAUUGGCAGCAAAAUGCAUUGCUUUCUUAAAUAUUGCUUGCAUUAGCAAGAAAAAAAAUAUAUUUUUUUUUAAGGAAAAACUUAGGUACAAUUCCUUAAGUUAUUAUUAUUAUGGUUUUUAACUAAGUUCACUGUGAUUUUAGCAAAUCUAUAAUUUUUUUAGAGUUUGUUAUAUUAAAAAAAAUAUAUUGUAUUUUUAGUUAAGAACCAUUUGAAAAAGCAUAUAAAGAAUUGUAUGUAAAUUUUGUCAUUUUUUUAAAUGGAAAAAAAGCAAGAUAUUGAUCAAAAUUAGACAACGCAUCUUCAUCCAUAAGAUCGAGGUUCAUCAUCUACCUCAUCAUCAUACUCAACUUCUCCUUCAUGAUUAUUAUCCUCGUAUUUUAUUUUGCUUAUACCUUUUUAAAUUUAUGAAACCAUUGUGAACGAGCAAAAUGUCCAAAAACUCUUGUAGUAGAGUCACACUUGCUUGUUCAUAAACCUAACUAAAACUCAUUUAGACACGCAUAAAUAAAUAUGUGUUUAAAUAAUUUUUAUGAGAUUGUGAUCAUAUAAGUAUUUUUUUACAGAAAAAAAUAGUAAAAUGAGAAAUACUAUAUAACAAUAUAAGUCCAGGUCAACCAUGACAUCACCAUCUAUUAAUGUACUUUCUUGUAGGACAUUUCAAAGAAAAAUUAUGCCAUGGGAGGUUGACAUAUGCUGUUAGUUGAGUUCCAUCUUAGGAAAUGGGUUAGCACUCAGGCAUACGUGCGAAGCUGGUGCCAUGAAACCAAAUUUAAAGUCAAAUGUACUAUCGACAAUUUAGAACUGGUGGAGUUUAACUUGAACCACUAUCAUAAUACUAGUAUUAUCAUAAAUUGAUAGUACCUUAAUUAUCAAUUACAACUUGUGCUAAAAAUCAUACAUCUCAAGAAUCAUUACGGAUUGAAUAUUUUGGGCAGACCCACGUCUAUGGUAUCUACUAUCUAACCAACUUCCCAUAAGAUUUCUUGCAGACCUCUUCACUCAUUCCUCAAUUAUAAAACCUUACCACAUUAUUCCAAAUUUUCUUACAUCCAAAUCCCUUUCUUUCACAGCUUUCUAGCAAGUACUAGUAGAGAAAACAUGGCUCUGGGAAGAGGCAGUGUGGUGGUUCUACUAGUCUGCUUUUUUGUUCUUAACUCUGAGCUUGUUCAUGCUGCUACCUACAAUGUUGGAGGUACUGUAGGUUGGACCUUUAACACGGUUGGGUGGUCUCGAGGAAAACGAUUUAGGGCUGGUGACACACUUGGUAUGUAUCUUCCAAUCACUAGAGAAUUAUUAAAUUUUACUCUAAUACAAUCGUGACCAUAAAUCUAUAAUAAUUAUUUGUCAAACUUUACUUACAUUUCAAUCAAAUUUAAAAUGAUCAAAGUCCCUUUCUCCUAAGAACUGAAAACGUACAAAAAAAAAAUACAAAGAUGCUAUUUUGUCCUAAUACUAUUCGACAUGAGGGCCAUAUUGGUGACCCCCCCCCCCCCCCAACACAUCUCCUUGUUUUUUCUAGGGAAGUCUUUACUCUCUCUGCCUUGAUUAAAAAAAGUCAUAUAUAUAUAUAUAUAUAUAUAUAUAUAUAUAUAUAUAUAUAUAUAUGGGGUUUUCUAGGACACACCUACUAGUUUUUAUUAAGGUGUGUUUUAGUAAAGAUAUAACUAAAAAGUUGUUAAAUACACAUCUUAAGGUGAAUGUUGCUAAAACACACCUUCUAAAAUAUAAGUGGGUGUAUGUUAGCAACUCCUAUACGCAUUUGCUAGGAUACACCCACUUAUUUUUUAGAAGGUGUGUUUUAGCAAGUUAUAACUAAAAGGCUUAAAUAUGUAAAAGGUCCCUGUAAUUUAGCGUGUUUUUGGUUUUAGUCCCUGUAAGUUUUUUUUCUUCUAAAACAACCCUUGUAAUUUCGAAACCUUUUGGAAAUCAUCCUUGCCGUCAGAUUCCGUUAACAAAAAAGCAUUGGUGGAUAACGGAGGUACACGUGGCAGUUUCUGGGUUGGCAAAAGUUGCUAACGAAAUGUUCAUAAGGACGAAAACCAAAAACGCAAAUGUUCAUAGGGAUGAAAUUGAAAAAAACGUAAAUGUCAAAAUUUCAAAUUUAAAAACAAUAUAUUCUUCUUCUUCUUCAUCCUUAUUUUUUCUCUUCUACAUCUCCUUUUCCUGCCAAUUUCUUUAUCUCCCUAGAAAAAAUUCACCCCCUCGUGGCAAUGUCUUCUCGUUCCAUUGCUAAUACAUCAUCUCCAAAAUCAUAAGGAUGUUCAUCUCCAAUUUAAAUGAAAACCCUAAAAGGAGAUAUUGAAAAUGUCCAACCUUUACGGUGAGUUCGUUGUUAUAAUACUAUGUUUGUUGUAUAAUUUUAACAAAGUUUAAUUUAAUUAAAAGCUUAAUAUGUUUAAUUUAUUGUUUAGGCUGCCUCAUUGGUGGGUAAUUGAGUCUAUGCAGAGGCAGUAUCCCCAAUGUUAUGUGAUUGAGUUUGUGUAGAGGUUUGUACGGAGGCAGUUGCCACAUUGUUGUUUGACUGUCACAUAGCAGAAAAGCUAUGGAAAACACAAUUCUAUAAUAUAGUAAUUAAACUUAAUAAUAAGAUAAUUUGUAAUAAAGUUAUAUACAUAAAUAAAACUGCUUCAAAAGAUGCAGAAUCACUUAAUUGUUUUAAGUAUAGUAAUUGGGUGUGUUUGUCAAAACUGAAUUCACAUUUGGUUGAGAUUGAGUAGCCUCAAAAGCUGUUGCAAGGGAAGGGAGAUUCACAAUUGGAAUGAGAAGACAUUGCCACGAGGGGAUGAGUUUUUUCUAGGGAGAUAAAGAAAUUGGAAGGGAAGGGAGAUGAACAAGAGAAAAAAGAGGGAUGAUGAAGAAGAUCAUCUUGUUUUUAAAUUUGAAAUUUUGAUAUUUACAUUUUUUCAAUUUCGUCCCUAUGAACAUUUGCGUUUUUGGUUUUCGUCCCUAUGAACAUUUCGUCAGCAACUUUUGCCAACUCAGAAACUGCCACGUGUGUCUCUGUUACCCAACAAUGCUUUUUUGUUGACGGAACCUGACGUCAGGGAUGAUUUCCAAAAGGUUUCGAAAUUACAAGGGUUGUUUUAGAAAAAAAAAACUUACAGAGACUAAAAACAAAAACACGCUAAAUUACAGGGACCUUUUACAUAUUUAAGCCUAACUAAAAAGUAGUUAAAUACACCUUAAGAUGUAGCUUGCUAAAACACUCCCACAUAAAAACUAGUGGGUGUGUUUUAGCAAAUCCAUAUAUAUAUAUGGCACUAUCCAUAUUUCAAUGCUUCCUCUUAAUAUUAUGGUUAAUAACAUUAUUCUUUUCUUUUAUGUCAAGCAUCUUAAUAUUAUUCUAAUAAAAAAAAUAUAACACAGAAGAUAUUUUUUUAUACGACUCUUUUAAUAAUUAUCCAAUUUCUUGAGUGUAAAUAUAAUUUUUCAUAUGUUUGUGCAGUGUUCAACUAUAGGCAAGGGACUCACAAUGUGGUGGCAGUAACCAAAGAAGUGUAUGAUAAGUGCAGUACUCCAAGAAGGGGAUCUAAAGUGUAUCGGUCAGGGAAGGAUCGGGUCAGGCUUGCUAAGGGACAAAACUACUUCAUGUGCAAUUUUCCAGGUCACUGCGGUUCUGGUGUGAAAAUUGCCAUCAAUGCUGCUUGAUUUUUAUACUAGAGUUUAAGUAUCAAUAAUGUAUUCAACUUUUAUAUGCGUGCCUUGCAAAUUUCAUACCAGUUGCUCUUUUCAUAUUAGUUGAAUCAUGCAGAAGCUGUUUCCUUAAAUUAAGUAUCAGUUUUUCCUACGGUUCUGUUUGUUUGAAUCAAGGUGACUGAUCUUGUCUCAAGAGAAUAAGUUUGUUUGGGCCUUGUGAUGUGUUGUUUUGGGUGGCUCCAUGAAAGUAGUAUUAUGGGGAAGUAAGUUCUGUUUUGGUGAUUAAUUUUAAUUUAUUCAGAGUUUUUGUACUUUUGUUAGAUAAAUUACAUUUGUUAUGCUUUGCUUGUAAUGUUACAUCCUUACACGUUCAUUUGGGUGCAAUCAUUAUGAUAUCAAUAUCUGUCUUUUCAUAUAAUAAUAAUAAUAAUAAUAGUAAUAAUAAUUUGGGUGUAGCUGUUAUGAUAUUAAUAUAUGAAUAUUAAGGGUAAAAAAAGAACGGAUUAAGUCGGGUUUAUGUGAUCUGAAUAUGGUAUUCACAUUAGAUCGAACCAAUUUUUAAAUUUAAAUAUGUCUACGAAUUCGAUCAAAUUUGAUGAGAUUUGGGUUCAACAAGUACAUGACAAUACGAAAACAUAAUCGGGUUUGUCCGAAGAUAAAUUGCAUGAGAUUUGCGAUGAUAUGAGAAUGAGUUAGAGAAGUGACGAUAUGAGAUUGGACUAGAGGAACGAUGAGCGGUGACGUGUGAAAUGAAGUCAAUGUUAGAAAUUCAAAAUAGAAAAUGAGUAUUGUAGAAAUAAAAAAGUUUUGUGUGAGAGACCUAGCUUGAGAGUGUGUAAAAUAAAAUUAAAAAAAAUCUUUACAUUAUAGAAUUAUCCAGAAUUUCAUUUAUUUAUUUUUUGGUUCAAUCUCAAUUUGUACAAUUGAACAAAAAUCAAUGAAGGAGCAAUAAGUCUGUCUAUUCACCAGUAAUUUUGAUUUUUGUAUAGAUUUGAUCCGUACAGACGCGCACUGCUCGUGUAUCACUCUACUAAAUACUAAAAAACUUUGGGCGGGACUCAAAAUUUUCAAUUUUCAAUUUUCAAUUUUCAAUUUUGAAUCACACACACGGUCACUUUAACAAUCUCUGCGUCUGAGUAGCGGUUGAAGAAGAACAUGGCGAUGUCGAACUACGAAUACCCAAGGCUUCGCCGGCCAGAAAUAGUUCAACUCCUAAACAACUUUCAAAUUGCUACCGUUACAGAGAACGACAUCUCCAACCCCAGAACCGGCGUCGUUUUGGAUCUCUACACUCGCAUCCUCAACUACCUCGAUUUUCUCCACGAGUAACUAUCCCUUUCCCUUCUCUUCAAUCUUCGCUUCACGCGCUUCAUUUUUAUUCUCUUUUUGAAUUUCUCACAGCGAAGACAACGGACAGCUUGAUUUCGAUGCACUAGAGCAUCUCGAGAAUCCCGACCUUCACGUUGGAUCUAUUCAUGCUAUCAAGCUUUACAACAAGAUCAAGGAAAUGCUUAACUUACUUGAAUGUCCUAAGAAAUACACAUUUAACUUUGCCGAUCUUCUCAAACCCGAUCCUCAUCGAACCGAGUUUUUCCUUGGAGCUCUUCUCAAUUUCUGUCUCGACAGGUUCGUUCGUUACUCUCACUUCUUCAACCAUUUCUGCUAAAUCAUCAAGGAAAAAUAAAACAUAACCUAAUUGUUAAAUUUUUUAAAAUCAGGGAUGGGAGAUUGAAUGCGAUAUCAGAAAUCGUAGACGAAUUCAACGCGUUGGAACAGAAGAUAGUUGAGAUUGAAGAGAAUAAUAUUACACAGGUUUAUAAUAUUGAAUGAUUUUUAUUUUUAUUUUUUUGUGUGUGUUGGUAUUGGUGUUUUAUUUGAUAGAUUUUCAUUCUGUUAUAGUUGAAAUUGGCGAUUGCUGAAUGCAAUGAAGCGAGGGAAAGGGAAUUGCCUUCUGUUCAGGAGGUGGAUGCAAAAGUUAAAGAGUUGCGUCAAACUAUUGCGAACCUGAACAAUAAACAGAUGUCAUUGAGAAGUACAAUAAAGAAGUUGAAGGAGAAGACUGUGGAAAUGGAUGAUAAGGUAUGCUUUAACCGAUAGUGAAAGUUUAGCAUAAUGAGUUGCAUAGUCUUACUUCUUGAUGUUGGGUUUUUUGAGUAGUAUAUGGAAUACAUUUCAGUAAAGGCAUAGAUGUUUAUGUGAAUAAUUAAUGGUGGAUUAGGACAUUUAACCCUGUCAGUUAUGUAACUUGAACAUAUAUUGCAGACUGCAGCUUAAUCUGAUCAGUUUAUAAUAUAUAUUAAUUCCUGUGUUGGUACUUGGUGAUAAAUUAUUUUACUUGAUGACAAUUCUUACUUCUAACUCGAUUUUCCUUUUGUUAUUACCUCAGAUUUCUGAUGCUGAAUAUAAACUGGUACAAAAUGUUCAAGAGCAUGGAAAUCUACUUUCAAAAAUUGCUCAAUCGCCUGAUAAAGUACAGGUAUCAUUUUCAUGUUGGCUAUUAGUCUAUUCUGUUCACAAAAUCUAACUUAUUACAAUCUUAGCUUUGAAAUGUAAUGGACAUUGCAUUUUUCCACCCCAUCUUCCUGUGUGAAUAUUGUAAAUGUGUUUUAUAGGACUGCCCUUACCUCUGUGUGGUUACCACAGUGGAAAACUCUCGCGACUCACAACCUUCUCUUGGGUAGUGACCGGUGCACAUGCUAACAUUAACUUAAUACAUAUUUAGCCUGGUAAGCUUGCUGUAACAUAACACCUGCGCUUAGCAAAACAAGGAGCUACUGACAAUAUCAGCAACAGAGAAAAAAUCAUCCAACAUAAUUUAUGUCCUUCAUAUUCCAUAAUUUUAUUGUAUCAAAAAAUUGUGACUACACAAGUAGCAUCUCAAAAUGCAUAAUUGUUUACACAACCCAACAUAAAAGAAUAACUCAUAGUUGCAUUACACCAAAGUCACAACAUAAUGGCUGCUUGAUAGGUCUGUUAUUGUUAGUUAAGUAGUUAUUUAAGAGGUUAGUUAAUUGGUUAAUGGGUAGUUAGUAGCUGAGUUGAGACUUGAGAGGUAGUUAGGCCAAAUAAGACAUGCUGCCUAUAAAUAGAGAGGAGGAUUAGAGAUGGAAUCAUCUUGCCAUUUGAGAGGAAUAGGGCCUUUUAGCAUAGGCAGGCAGACCCUCAAUGUGCUGCCAUUGUUUGUAAUCAAAGGGAUUCCCAUUUUCAGUAAUAACUAAUAAUAUACCCGUAUCUUCUAUCAAUUGGUAUAAAGCUCUUUGUGGGCUCGGUGGGUGGACAUCAUGAUGAAUCUUCCACCGUGGUUCUGUUUUUAAUGCUUCCUACCAAAUUGUCAUUGAUUCAUUUUGUGUGUGGGUGCUUCCGGUGGUAAUUGCUGUAGGAGAUUUGAGGUGAAAUUGUAAGAAAUUGGUAGUAGUAGGAAAUAGGUAGGCAGACCCAAGGGAGAAGGACAGAGAUAUGGAAAUGUAGAAAUAGACUCUUUUAUACGUUUUUCCAAAAACUAUCUUCAUUGGUUCAUAGUUCAUAUGUUAAAAAAUGGUAUUUGACGUAAAACAGGUCACUGUUAGUGUUAUUCUGGUAUUUGACAGUGUUAUUAGCAUGUUUCAUGAAUUCAGCCUUUGGGUAUUUGCUUGAAAUAAUUGCUCUUUUCCUUUAAAUCAGUCUGUUGAAGAUGUUUGUAAGUGUGAUAAUUUAAUUGAAAAGAAAACAAAUUGUAGGAACUAAAUUGAAAGUAAGAGGAGACUAGAGGCACUAACAUUUAUUUUAACCAUGAAUUUAUUAUCACUGUUCGGGUGAACAAACACUGCAUGCUUAUUUUAAGAUGUUCUUGCUGUGUAGAGUAAUCUCUGAUUUUAUCUUUCUGCCUCUACCUAUUUAAAUUUGCUUCCCUUAUCUUGCAUGAAGAGAGCUCUAGAGGAAAAGAAAUUAGCUCGAGAGGAGGCAAGAAAUGCUGAAAGAUUAGCCAUGCACAAUUUCCAUGAGAAGACUGCCCUUGUUGAAGUUAUUUCCAAGGUAUGUUGUCAUAGGACGGUAUUCCCUCCAUACAAUACUAUGGUGUUUUUAGAAUCUUUAUUUUGUAUCAAAACCAUGGGUGUUUUAAAUAUCCACAAGCUAUGAUUUGUCUGUAUACCAUGUUGAAUUUUCCCUGGUAAAGAGCAUUGAAGAAUAAGCUGCAACAUAAUAGGGCUAGUGGGAUCACUUAAUCUGCUUUUUAGAAUUUUCCUUACAGAUGUUGUCGUUCAGUUUCAACAUUAUUCAUAUUUCUUUUUGGCAACAACAUUAUUCAUAUUGGUUAAACAAAUCUAUGCACUAACCUUGUAGCCAUUUACUCAUUCUAGAAAGGAAACUUAGGCUUUGUUUGGGAGUUUGGAGGGGAGGGGAGGGUUUUGGAAAAAAGGAAGGAGCAAGUGGAAGAAAUAGAAGACAUUGGGAGGAGAGGGCUUUGGAGGUUAAUUUUUUACUCGUAAUAAAAAAUCCCCCUCAUUUGGGGGAACUCAAAAAUUGUAUUGGGGGAGGGUUUUGGGGGGUUAUGGAGGGUUUAUAUGAAUUUUUCAAAUCCAAUCUAUGUUGUCAUAAUAUUCUUAAAAUUAAAAGUAUAUUAAUCAUAAGUAUUAGUUUAUCAUUCUCUGAAAAACCGUUCUUUCAAAAAAUGUGAUUUUUUUUUGUCCAUUUUUCUAUAUAUUUCCAACCUCCCAAAGCCCUCCCCUCCCUUCCCCUCCAAACUCCCAAACAAAGCCUUAAAAAAAGUAAACUGCAUCUCAUGGGUUUAUGACUUCUAUUCACAAUGUAAUGUUUUGUCCUAGAUAAUACAGAUCACUUUAUCCAUUACUUGUCAGGUACACAAAAAAAUGUCAAAGCACUACAAGCAGGUGCAGGUUACACAAGAGCAGGUAUUCCUUGUCCUAUGGCUAUUUGACUCAUGCUCUGUCAUUUAGCAUGACGAUUGAAAUUUUGUUAUGAAUUUGUCCCUGUAUAUGGAGGAAGGAAAAGCUUUUUCUUUUGUUAUUUUGGAUUUGAAUGAAGCUCAUGAUGGUGGUGGUGUCUUGGAGAUAUGUUGUAAAUAAUGUAUAUUUGUAAUUGUUAGUAAUAAUUGUAUUUCACCAUUAAUCAGGCCCAUUAGGUUUAGAAGAGUCUAUUUAAACUAAUUAAUGGUUGUUCUCUAUUAACAACUUUGAAAUAUAUCAAAUACAUUUUCUACAAGACCGAUAUGAAACGUUCUAUUAUGAUCUGCGGGCUUUUUCUUCCUUCAAAGAUAUUUAAACUAAUUAAUGGUUGUUCUCUAUUAACAACUUUGAAAUAUAUCAAAUACAUUUUCUACAAGACCGAUAUGAAACGUUCUAUUAUGAUCUGCGGGCUUUUUCUUCCUUCAAAGAUAGUUAUUAUUGUGCAAAACCUCUUGUUUGAUUUCUUUAGCACUUCCUUUAGGUCAAUUCUGCUAAAACUAUUGAAAAGGAUCUUAAAACAUUAAAGGCAAAACUUGGUGACGAAGAAGUACUGGAGAAGUCACUUGAGGCCAAGUUGGUCGAAAAGCAAACUAAAGGUACGUUCUUGUGCAAGCAAGUAAUGCUGGUGCCCCAUUUCCAAAUGGCCAGCAUAUCUGUGUAAGCAUGAGUUAUGAUAUUUUUUGUGAUUGUUUUUUUAAAAACUGUUGACAAAUUACCUGGCAUUGUGGCAUGUUUUUUUUAUCAAACUAUUAUUAUUAUGAUGAUGACUCUUAGAAAGUGUGGUUGGGCCUAACACAACCCCACCAAACUGGCUUGUAAUGUGAGAAUUGCCCCCACUUUUGAACACAUUGUCAGACCAUCUCUUAUCUGACGUGGGACUCUUUAACAAUGACGAUCAUCAUCAUCUUGUCUUAGGGCCUGUAUGGAUUGAGCUUAUGCAAAUAAAUAAGCUUUUAUGCUAAUUCAUAAGAUCUUACUAACGAAAAUUGUAUAUUCACAAGUUGUUUUUUCAUAAACUACCUUAACAAAUUUAUAAAUAAAUAAUACAUUAAUACUUCUUUAUUUGCAUAAACUGCUUUGCAUAAGCUCUAAAAUAAGCCAAUCCAAAUGGGCCCUAAGUGAAUCCAUUGACCGACUGAAGUGGCACAUAUGCCACUACGCAAUGUUAUCUUUCAAAAUUUAAAAGUUUUCAAUUUCCAAUGCAAUGAUUACACAAACUUUUAUAAAAAGUUACUAUUUAAAGUCCUUAGCUAGUGCCCCCGGGGCACUAGUUAACAUUUCCCAAAAACUUUAAUGCUGUAUAGCAUUGCUCUUUAUACAUGUAUAUUAUAUGUGUUUGUUGUGUUUUCCCUCAUCAGUUGAACAUACGGAAGGGUUGAAUAAGCAGUCAGAGAAAGAAUGUGGUUUCAUGAUGGAUGAAGGAACUAAAUACCUAAGCAGUAUAAAAUCAGAGGCGGAAUCAAAGAGACGUGACAUUGAAACAAGACAGAGAAAUGUUGAGGCUAUCUUAUCGAAGGUACCAUUUAUUAAGUGGAAUUGAAAACUCCAUUGGAAAGUAUAAACACUGAAUAUAUGCGUAACUAAAGAAAACAUUACUUCUUAUCUAAAUACUUAUAUUUUUGAAAUCAUAACUAGUAUUCUUUACAGCUUCAGAAAAUUAAUCAAUAUUCUUUAGGCACUUGUUUGCAUUUCUUUUCAUAAUAAAAUGAAGUUUGAUGAAAGAAUACAUUGUUAUUUCUUGUCUGCAAUUGACAGGUGGAUGUCAUAAACAGUAGAGAGACCUCAGUAAAAGAAUCUGCAACACUUAAAGUGGAUCAGAUGGAAAUUAAAUGCAGCGAGCUUUUCGAAGUGGUAUGUUGCCAUUUAUCUUCUUUUGGAAGCUUGUUGGUAAUUGGUAUAAUGCCAUUUACAGAAAGUUGAAUCCGAAAAUACUGUAAAAUAGAUCGUGCUUCUAUUUGCUUGACUUUAGAAGAAUACAAUAUGGGCAUAUAUAUAUACAACUCAGCAAUAGUUAAUUUGGUAAUGUAAAUCUCCUAUAAUAAAGCUGAAAUCUCCUAUAGCUAAUCUAUCAUCAAAAGAUAUCACUAUAAUUUCUCUUAACAAAUACUCUGCUUUGUUUCAAUACUUCAAAUUGCAUCCAUACCUGAGUCAUAAGAGAGAAAUGAAAAUUUGAACUGAAAUUCAAUAAGAGGGAAAUGAAAAUUGUAACUCAAAUUCAAAGUUGCUCUAUGUCAGUUGCAAGUUGCAACUUUCGCAUAGACUUUACCUUUAUUUUUCUUCCUUCUGUAAAUAGAUUAUGUGUUUCUUUUACUGUUUAUCAUGUCAAUUGAGCUCCAAUCCUUGUUCUACACACUGCGUGUUAAUGUUGAAUUGUUGAUUGUCAAUUUUGAGUGAUGAUUCUUGUGUUAAUUAUUGUGAUAGUGAACAAGAAAUAACUAAACUUUUAUGUUUGGGUUGUUGUAGUUUCGUAAGUAUUCCAACUCGUUUGAUGCACGUGUGGUUGAAUCUGGGCUAAAGAAUGCAACCGUUAAAAGAGCUGGAUUUGACAAUUAAGAUUCCGUUUAAUUAGGCACUAGACUUGCACAGCAAUGCUGAGCACGUUUGAUUUUCCUUUGUUAAGACAUAGGUGUAAAGUUGUAUCUAUGACUAUUAUGCCUGAUAGAUGUUCAAAUUAUUGUAUAUAUCUGUUAUUUUCCUUUGUUAAGACAUAUUUAAGUGGUUGAUUUUUUGCUCAAAUCAACAGUUACUUUUUGAUCCUUAAGGCUGCAGCAGAUUUCGUUUUUAGAUUUCUUGUUUGCACUUUGUUGUUUUCUCUUUUUGUUUUGUGUUCAAAGAGUGUAUUAGUGAAACUCAUAUUCAGUGCUGAGAAGUGAGUUAUUGUGGGUUAGAAACUUGGAACCACACCUUUACAAGGAUUAAGGAAUGAGUUGUUUAUAAAAUUUUGGGUUAAAUAUGUUUUUUUUUCCUUAUAAAAUUAGGACUUUCUGAGUUUAGUCUUUACUUAAUUUCAAUAGUUAUUUUAGUCCUUAUAAACAAAUUCAUUUACUUAGUUUUAGUCCCUACUCAGUUAUUUUGAACAUUUUUUUGCAGAUGUGUUAAGAACGUUAUUUAAAGUUUCUCCGCAAAAAAUUAUCUUAAAAUUUGAUUUCUACCUCCAAAUUUUUGUUACUUUUAGGGGUGUUCAAAACUGAACUAACCCAAUAGAAAAACCGCAAACCAAACCAAUCCAUAUCAAAACUGCACUUAGUUCGGAUGAAUUUAGACGACUUUUGCAUUGAACUGCGCGGUUCGGUUCGGUUUGCGGUUUGCAUCUCAGGAACCGAACCAUACCAAACCGCAAGAAUAAUGAAUAUAUGUACUAGCCCAAUUACAUGCUCAAGAAUAAUCUUUUUGAUUCCAUUUUUCCAUUGUUGCACCAUCAGGUUUGAUUCUAAUUCAUUUCCAUCUCUUUCAAUUCAUUUUCGGUGAUGAAUUUAUUUCCUUUACUUCCCAAUAAUUUGUUUCAUGAUUAUGUUUCUUCUUAAUUUUACAUAUUUUGAUAUAUGUUUUACAUAAUAUUUGAUCAUAUAAACAGCAAAAUAAAUGGUCAUACGUAUGUCUAUUUUGUAACAAGUUGGCAAUAUUAGAGUUAAUGUAAUAUUUUUUUAAUCUCGCGAUAAACUGCACAAACCGAACCAAUCCAAGCCGCUUGGUUUGGUUUGGAUGACUUUUUAAAAAUCAACCGAACCAAACUAAACCGCAUGCUUUUUUAUCUCGCGGUUUUGAUGACUUUUAUGCUCAAAAUCAAACCAAACCGCACCGCGAACACCCCUAGUUACUUUUCUCACAAACUUUUUCGUUUGAAAAUUUUCAUAUUUAAUUCAUGUCAUGUUAAAAAUCUAAAUUUUAGUAAAUAAGUCUUUUGUAAUGUUCUAAACUUGUUUACAAAAAAUCGUUAAAAAAUUUAAGAUUUUAAGGAAAAUUAAAUAAACUUUGUUUUUUUUUUUUUUUUAAGGAAAUAAACUUUGUUUUAGUAGAGACUAACAUUGAAUGUAAAUAUUUUUUGUAGGGGUUAAAAUUGCUAUCAAAGUUAAGUAAGAAUUAAAUUUAAAAGUUUUCAAUUUUAUAGGGAUAAAAACAUAUUUAAUCCUAAAAUUUAUGGUUGGAUUGCAACCUGAAUUGAGUUGUUUAUAAAAUUUAUUGUUUAGUUGCAACUUGGAAGUUAAUUUUAAUUAGGUCUUUUCAAUAAAAUUUUGGUUCAUAAUGUAAAAUCAUUUUAUAUAUCAUAAAAUAUGUUUAAACUAACGUCCUUCAAUAAAUGUGGAUGUUGUCCUUGUGAGCUUAGCUUAGUUGGUAGGAACAACACAUAAUAUACGCAAAGUGCGGGGUUCGAACCUCAAAUACCAAAAAAAUAAAAUGUGGAUCCUAGUUUUUUCACAUAGAACAAUGAACUACUCUCUCUUCAACCAAACAAAGCCCAUAGAAAUAUUCUUUUUUUCAACACUCUUUAUAAGAUAAAAUUAGUGUAGAUCUCACUUUUUAUGUUUAAUUCAUUUCUAAAUCUAAAAUGUGGGACAAGCAUUGCUGUCACCUAAUGAACGAGGGGAAUAGAUUUUUUCAUGUGCAAUUGAGAGGGUAAAAUGUAAUCUGCCACCAUUCUAUCUCACUUCAUCUAAAUUCUGCAUGUGUUUAUCUCUUUUGAUGAACAGUGAGAGAUCACACUUUACUCACAUGUAUAAAUUGCACAUGAGAGUAUUCAUUUUGAUGAAAGUGUGAGUAUUAAAGUGUUGGAAAAAGAGUGUUCUUAAGACUCCUUUUACCUCUUUUCUUUUUUUAACACUCCUUUUACCUCUUUUCAAGAAAGGAUGAAUUUGUUUAAUGAAAUGUGAUUAGUAACUAAGUGACUUAGUUCAAAUGGUUAAUGAGCUCUAUCAAACGAUAAACUGAUCGAAAGAAUUCGAGUUCAAUUUCUAAAUAGAGAAAAUCUUAACUAAACUAUACUUGUCUAACGACUAAACUUCAAAUGAAGAUAACAUCUUUCUCCUAAAAACAAGAGAGUUAAUAAAAAAAACGUGAUCGAUAAUUUAAUAUUAUCGGUUCACAUAAAAAAAUGUCUUAAUAAUGUAAAUAUUAAAGAGCCAGGAUAUGUUGACUCAGGAGUAGUACUUUUUUUUAUUACACGUCACGAGUAGUUAUAAGAUAAAUUACUCUACUCGAUAAUUCUUUAUAAUCAAUAAAUUUCACUAAUUUAUUCUCUGUUAUGAAAUAAACUAAAAGCACAAGAUCAAAGAAGAAGAGGAAGAAGAAGGUGAAAACACUUUUUAUUAUUCUCUUCAGAAGUGUGUCAUUACAUUGUAAUGUAGGUCCUAUUUAUAGGAUACAUAUAGGUACAUGAAUGAUCACAUUACAACCCACUUACUAAUGAAUUUACUAGUGGGAGUUACAAGCAUGUGGAAGCGUUAUAGAUGGACAUCUAAUGAUAUAUAUUCAUAACAUUCUCAAAUUAAUAGUUGACUUAUAACAAACUUUUAUAAAUGUAAAUAAAUGUUGCUUGAUUAUUUAUACAGGAAUGAUAUAUGAACAACCUUGAGGUUGUCCACACCGUCUUUUAAUACGGUAAAGUAGUAUAAAUUGAUCUUUUUUAUUCAUUUUAUGUAAUCUCGAAAUCCGUGCCAGCUUGAAUUGCCUUGGGAAUGAUACGGUGUGGCUAAAAGUUGUUGGUUUUUGGUUGUUAAUAUAAGACCAUCCCCAAUGGUUCAACAUAUUCAACACCAUUCAACACCCACUUUUUCAAUUCCCAACACUCUACAUCAUUUUCUCUCUCUUAUUCAACACUCAUUCAACUUUUACCCUCUCCAAUGGUUUUUCAUUCAACACUCUACCCCACCACUUUUUAUUUCUUAUUCUUAUUUAAUUUUUGUUUUUAUAAUUACAUAAAAUUAUCGAUUAUAAUUAAAUUAAAAUAAUACAAUUAACUAUUUAUUUUUUAGUAUUUUUGGAAAGAAAAAAAAUUGUAAAAUAAUUUAUUUUUAUUUUCUUAAUUUAAAAUGCAAGUACAACAAACUAAGCACACGACACACAAAUAACUUAAAAUGCAAUGCAAAUAAUUUGAGGACGUUGGUUGAAAAAUUCAUUUGGAUUUGGAUAAUUGUUGGGAUUUUCGUAGUUAAAUGGGUAAUUAGAAUAAUUUUGGGUGUUGAAAUGGUUAUUAUUGGGAUCCAUUUCACUAAAAAUAAGAUUAAAACUUCACUUAGUUUGCUAAUAGAAAGAUAAUAAUAAGAAGAAUAUAGUGAAAAACUUGGUUUUUUUUUCUGUGUCCAAAUUAAAUGAACCAAGUCUCUAUUUAUAGAGAAAAAAAAAUCAUGAAUUUUGAUAUUUUUUUUUAUUUUUUUAAAAUUAAUUUACAACGAAAUAAUUGAGGUCCAAUUGUUAAAAUUAUAAGAAUCCGGACAACCAAUUAAAACGCGCCACGUGUCCCUAUCUAUCCAAAACUCGUUUCUCUCUCCGCGUCUCUGAACACUCACGCGCCCUGUCGGCACGUGUGCUGCACGCGCCAUCUUUCAGCCAAUUGCAGCGCGCCGCGUGGCAUUCCGGACUGCUUUCAACACAGUUGAAUCUAUUCAUCCUCUCUCUCCUCUUUCUUCCAAUUCAACACUCAUUAAACACACCAUUGAACAUGGUCUAACACUUCUCUUAUUUAUAUAUUAUAACAGUAACCAACGGUUGAAUUAGUAAAACUUAUUGUUUACAAUGCUGUAAAACUUGAUAUUGUUUAGACCAAAAAAAAAAAAAAAAAAACUUGAUAUUGUUGAAUAGUAGUGAUCUCAAUCUUAGUAAAAUAUGUUUACAGUUUCUUUUUCCUUUUCGUACGGAACAGAUCUCAACUGUAAAAUGAAUCAUAUAUUGUUGAAUAGAAGUAGUGAUGAUUUUGGUUGAAACUUCAUAGUCUACUCAUUUCCAGUAAGAAAAAAAAAAGAAAAAAAAUCUUGUUGAGAGAGAGUUGAGAUUUGAUGGGGCACCGAAUCUCUUUUUAAAAUUUAUCCGUGAUCUCACAAUUGACAUGUGGAGAUUAAAAUAAUUCAGGUCAAUAGAGAUAGAUCUACUCUAAAAUAUUAAACACUUCUUUUUUCAAGUUGUUUAGUGAUUAGAUUUACACAUUUUUAAAUAAGGAAUUUGAAGUUUGAACUCCAUCUUUGCAACAAUGUCUAUGGUAAUUAUAAAUUGAGCUACAUUUAUGAGACAACACAUACUUAAUUAUAAAAAAAUAUAAAGUCUAAAUAAUAAAGAAAACAUUUUAAUCCACAAUACUGUGAGUUCAACUUUCACUAUCAAUAUAAUUUCUUUAGGUAAUGAUUUGUAAGUAUUUAUGUAAACGUUAUUUGAGCCUUGAGUUCUGCUCUAACUUUCAUGAGCCAUUAGGGCUCAACCACCUAAACUUUUUUCUACUAAAAAAAGAAAACAUUUUAAACGUAUUAAAGAGACUUGAUAAUUUAUUUUUAUACCCAUUCUUAUUAUUUGUUCUUGGUAUUUUGUGUUAAAUUAACAUUUUCAUUAUUUUAAGCAUAUUAACUUACAUACAAACGUUAAUGCACAUCCACUUAAAUUAAUUUUAGAAGGCGUCUAUUGGUAUCAUACAUUCCUACCCCCUGUUGCUUUGGACACAUAGUAGGCUUUCUCUUUCUUAAUUUGUCCCUAAAAACAUGCCUUUUGAAGUAAUUUUGUUAUUCCAUAUUCAUAAUUAUCUCUCUCUUGCUCUAAAUGACUAAAUCAAUCAUGUAAACUUUUUUUCUUCUUCUUUCAUACCGGUUUUCGACCCACCAAUGGUGGAUGACUAAUCCAACUCAUGCAUAGUGAUAUGUGCACUGAUCAAGCGUUGUUCCUCCUGAAAAUCGAAUUCGAUAUUUCCCGAGUACGUCCUUAGAAGGAGCUUCUUGCCGCUAAAAUCCAAACAACUUGGUUCAAAGAAAAUGAAAAAGACGAAAAACCUUCAUAUAUUUUAUUUAUUUAUUUUCUCUCUUUCGAUCAUCUUUUAUCAAGAAGGGUGUUUGCUGUUGACAAAAAACCAAACACCACCCUCCAUGAUUUUUCAUAAAUAUCUUCCUUCCCUCUUUGUUCAUAAGCACAAGGUUAACAGUUUGUGUCAAAACUAAAGCUAUUUUAAUUCCAAUAUCAAAAGAACAAAUAUAGCAUUUUUUUGGUAGAAGACAAAUUUAACAUAUAAUGAUAAAAUAAAUAUUAGAAACAUACAUUUUAACACACAUUUUUCAACAUAUUAUCUUUAAUUGAUUAAAAUUCACAUGGAUUCAACCAAAUUUAUAUGGCCUCACAUGAUCUGCUGGAACCCAUAUGAAUUUUAACCAAUUAAAAAGAAUAUGAUAAAAAAUGUGUUGUUAACAUUCAUCUGAUGACAAAACAGAAGGUGUAGCUAGUAGAACAAGAUAUGGGAUAUGUGAUCAUCACUAGCUUGGAUUCCGGCAACGAAAAGGGGUGAUCGUGUUUUGCAGAGAUGAAAAUACCCCUACGCAUUCAACUCACGCUAGUGUAAAAUUUAACGUGAGUUAACUCAGGUGAAUUAGAAAAAGGGUUGGUGUAUGAGUAAUGGUUACAUCUUUAUAUAAAGCUGCUAAUCAUUUAUACAUGUGCAGGUUAUCAGUAAUGGUUUCUAAGUUUAACCAGCCUACGGCUAUUCCCUCUGUUUUAAAAUGAGUGUCGCUUUAGUCAAAAAAAUUGUUUCAAAAUGAAUGUCACUUUACAUUUUCAAUACAACUUUAAUUUUUUUCUUCCAACUUUACCUUCAAUAAAUAUUCAACAUUUUUUCUCACAAUUUUCAAUGCAACUUUAAGUUUGUCUUUUUCAUAUAAAACAAGGGCAAUUUAGUAAAAAUAUUAUGUCUAAUGAUUAUUUCAUUCCAUUCCUUAAUCUGUAUGCAAUUGGUUAAAACGACACUCAUUUUAAAACGGAGGGAGUAGUACUUAACCGACGUAUAACUAUUGCAUGGGAAAUUCUAAUAUAAGCACAAAUAUAAAUCCAAAUCAUUUAGACACACACAACAAUAUACAUUAACUAAUAUUUUUAAUAUUAACAACAAUAAAUUAAUAUUUUUUCUUUUUUUACAUAUUUCUAUUGUAUUGUACGUGUGUCUAAACCAAAUAUAUAUUUGUAAUUGUGACCACAUAAAAAUAAAAAUUGCUCCUAUUGCAUAGUUAACCUAUAACACUUUUCUUAUAACAACCAAAGUAAAACAGACAAUCAUUCAACAGACAAAUUUAAAAAAAUUUGUAGAGAAGAAACUAAAAUUUAUUAAAGCUGUCAAUUUGUAGAAAAGAAAAAUUAUUAAAAAUUUACACACUAGAUUCCAUUUAUAUAAACACCACAACCCACAAAUAGACCACAGGGCAAACAUCAGAAGAAGUAAAUAAAUUAUAAAUAUAGUGCUUACUUAUUUCUCAAACCAAGGGAGGUCUAUCUAUGUAUUACAACAACCAUUUUUACACUAGCGUGAGUUAACUCACGCAAAAUUAACAUUAAUGUGAAUUAACAUGCGCAUGAGUAUUUUUGUCUUUUCAAUUGAAAGUGAGCAAUUUUUGUUGGAUAAAUAGCAUAAUUCUUUUUUUUUUGGAGAGAAAACACGAUGAACAGUAGUUCAAAGCCUCUUUGCGAGAAAAAUGAGAAAAUUAAUUGUAUGCUUUCAAAAAAACAAACAAAAUUACCCACUUACCCUUUCUUUUAAGCUUGUUUAAAAAGGGAAGAAAUUGCUUUUAAGUCCAAAGUAAAAAGUUGUAAGAUCCUAAAAUACACCUUCAAAAAGAAUAUAUAUUUUGUGGAUGUGCAUUAGUAUUAUAAGCACACAAUUUUGAGAUGUGAUAUUUCAUUUGUCACACAUUUUUUUUUUUAAAUAUUCAUUUGUCACAUAUAUAGUCAUUAUUUUUUGUUGACAAUAUACAUCAUCCGGUCACUAUUAUAAGUAAAAUUUUGCAUUUUAGAUUUAUUCAAUUAAUGAUAUAUUUAGUCUUUAUUAUAGACCACAUACAUUAUUUAAUAAAUAAAUCUAAAAUAUAAAAUUUUGCUUAUAAUAGUGACCGAAUGGUAUAUUUAGAGAUAUCUAUUUAAGAAGAAGCUUCUGUGAGUGGUAAAAAUGUCUAUAUUAGGUGUUAGUACCACAAAACCAAAUAUAAUUAUUUAAAUGUCAUACUAUUUUUUACCAUAAAAAAAGAAAUGUCAUGCUAUUUUAUUUUAUAUGUCAAAAUGUCAUACUAUUUUUCAAAAGUAGCUAAUUUUAUAUGUUGGACAUUUAAUAAAUCUCAUACUUAAAAGCCUCGAAACAUUAUUACUGAAUAUAUUGAAAUUUGAAAGGAAAAGGAAAACUUCCUUUUAACCUCCUCCUCUCCUUUGCGAGGAGUGCACUAAGAAAUAGACACAUCACACUUUAACGAAACCUUUAUAAUCCAUAAAAAUGUAACUAAAUCAAGAGGCCUAGUUUGAAUUCUAUGUCCUCUAGUUACUUUUUCUAAUUUCUUCAAACUUUUAAGGGAUAUAUCUUUCCUUAAAAAAAAAAAGGGGAUAUAUCUUGAAUUGUUUUUUUCCCUUCACGUGAUUUGAGUAAAACUAAAACAUUAUUCUUAGAAGUGGUGAUUUAGCCUAACAAAACUUCAUAAAAUCGGUUUGUGAGAUGGAGGAUUGCCUCCACUUAUAAACACAUUGUCAGACUAUCACUUGAUCGUGGACAUAAAUGGUGGAUGGUCCGAUAACGGAAACCUAAUAGUGGGUGAUUCAAUGGAUCUUGGAGAGGCUCUGAUACCAUCUUAGAAAUGGUGGUUGUGCUUAACACAACCCCACAAAACUGACUUGUGAUGUGAGGAUUACCCCCACUUAUAAAUACAUUGUCAGGCCAUUACCUAUCUGAUGUGAGACUCUUAACAGUUAUCAAGCUUGUUGAUCUGACCUGAUCAAUAGAACGGCGUCUAGUGUAAUGAGUUUAUUGUUAGUUGAGUGCUUGCAAUGUUGAGAGGUAUUGUAUUUGUGGACACUCUAAUGCUCAAAUCAAUAUAUGAGCAUAAAAGGGGGGUUGAGUGUCAAAUAAUAUGUACCUUUGGAGACUAUGUAAAAUCUCUUUAUAUAGAGGAGACGCCGGUUGACGUAGUUACAACAUUUAUAGGCGUUGUUCGAUAGUUACGGAUACAUGCAAGAUUUAUAACCAUCGAACGUUACGGAAACUUGAACCGAUGUAAACAUAGACCUUUGAACGAUCGAUAACACUUUUUUUAUUUUAUUUUUAGGGAAGUCAAUAACACUUGUAUUGAUCACGUUCUAGUUUAACAAAAAUAGUUUUUCAUCAAAUUUGACUGGAGUUUCAAAUUUUGAAAAUUCCUACGAAAACGAUUUGAACGAGAAAUUAUUUGAUUAAAUUCAUUUUCAAUUAAUGUCGUUUUUUUUUACUGGAAUAAUUAUGUUGUAUUUUGACACAUAAAAUUGUUGUUAUGGAACUGAAAGGUCACAUGUUCAAGUUCUGGAAACAAUUUCUUAUGUAAAAAACAGGGUAAGGCUGUGUACAAUACACCAAAUAGUAGGAUUCCUUCCCAAACCCUAUGUAUGCGAGAGCUUUAAUGCAAAAGGUUGUCCUUUUUAAUUAUGUUGUUGAGUAACCGGAAAUAAUACAAGGACCAAGUGGAUCUACUUUACAUUUUUUUGAGAAAUUAAUUUGUAGUUUAGGUCGACCACAUAUCUCCUCGCUAUCAGGUGGUGCCGAACUUUUUUUUUUUUAAAGAAUAUAAUAAUGAAUUAUUGACAUCCUUGUAAUUUGCAAUGAGCAAAAAAAUAAAUCUGCAUUUUUUUUAGAAUAAAAAAAUCUACGAUCUCCGUGAGCUUAACUCAGUUGGUAAGGAUAUUACAUAUUAUAUGUAGAGGUAGGGGUUCGAAUCUCGGACACUCCAUUUCUCCAUAAUUAAAUUGUGUGAGCUCUAGCCACUAAACUUAGGGUUAGGAAUAGGCCAGGCCAAGCUAGACUUUGAUAGGCAUGAGCCUCGCCUAUAAAAAAAUUUGCAAGCUUGAGCCUGACCUAUGGCAUGGCCUGGCCUGAAAGCCUAUUUACAGGCCUACUUAUGAUUAAAGUCAUUAAACAUGUUAUUUUAUUUACUUCUAAGUAGGCUAAAUAGGCCUUAAAGUCUAUUUUAUUGUAAGACUUGUCUAUCACUAUAAGGCUUUAAAAGCCUAUUUCACUAUAAGGCCUUAGAGCCUAUUUAAAAAGUCUAUUAUUUGAGUUAUUUCUUUAUUUUGCUGUUUAAUAUAAAUUAUAUUUUAUUAUUAAUAAAAAAUAAAUUUUAAUAAUAUGCAUAAACAGACUGACCUAUUAAGCUUCGUAGGCUUUUUUGAUAUCCUAAGCCUAACCUAUUUACUUAAAUAGACUUUUUCAAAAGCCUAAGCCUAGCCUUUAUAAUAAACAGAUCAGGUCAGACCUAAACAGGUCAGGCCGUAGGCCUCGAUAGGUCAACCUGACCUAUUCCCAACCCUAACUAGGUUACUUGACCAAAAAAUCUACAAUUAUUUUGGAGUAGGUGAUGAUAUGAUAUGAUGUGUACCACAUGUUUUUCGCAUCCACGUGUCCUCAUUGAAGCUCUUAUUAUUAUUAAUUAUUAUUAUUAGAGUCAUUAUGUUAACUAAUGUCUUAGUUGUUUCCGUGAGCUUAACUCAGUUGGUAAGAACAAUGUAUAAUAUAUGUAAGGUUCAAGGUUCGAACAUUAAACACCACAAAAAAAAACUAAUGUCACUAUCAUCUUAACUCAGUUAGUAGUGACAUUUUACUUGAUAAAAAAAAAUAUAAUCUUUAAUCACAUAAUUUUUUUUAUACUAUACUUUUUUCCUUAACUAAUGUCACUCUCGAACACUAGUUAGCAUUUUUCUAUUACCACGAAUUUAUGGUUAAAGUAAGCUUUGCAAAGUACUCGUCUCUAAAUGCUCCAUAAGUGUGUUUUUGAAUUAUUUAAUGUACAAUGUGCACUAUUUUAUAACACAUGUCACAUUUGUAAGAUUUGCAUUAUUCAUAUAACUUAUUUUAACCAUAUUUUUAAUUAAUAUAUAAAUAUAAAUAUUAGUAUUGAAAAUGUUGUUCAAUUUAUUUGGAUAAAUAUUUUCAAAAUAUUCAAUUUUUAUAAUUUUUUACUAUAGAUAAUUAAAGAUAUUAGCGAUCAAAAGUGUGUAUUAACAUUUGUAAAAAAAAGUGUGUAUUAACAUGUGUAAAGUGGUUGACUGUAAUAUUUAUUUUAAAAUAAAGAUAGUAAUUUAUUUAUAAGGGACGCUUAUUAGCAUAUUCUUAUUUAUAAAAAUAUUCUUAGUUAAUUAAUUAUCGAACUUCAUAUAAAUAUAGGUCUUAGAGUCCUCUCUAUAAUGAAAUCUCUCACUCAACCAUUGAAUCAACCUUUUAUUCCGAAAAAACGUUAAUUAAAUGACAACUUUGGCAUACAUCAAUAGAUAAAUUUAAUACAUUAUCUAUCUUUCUAAUUAUUUUUUAAAAUAUUUGUGAUAUCCAAUUUAUGCUUACAACAAGGGAGAUAGGAGAAUAACGUAGAAUUAUUUUCCCAGCUAAUCAUAUAAGUAUUCAAUUAUCUUUCCUUUUACUAUUCAAUAUUCAAUUACAACUUGCCACAAAAAACAAAUUCAAUUACUACAACUUGUCACUAAAAAAAAAAAAAUCAAUUACAACUUUUUACAGUAAAUCACACUUUAUUUAUAGCCUCAGUCUUCAACGCAUUCACGCAUCAAUUAUUGCCGAGUUCGUUGCUUAUUCUCAGUUUCUCAAUUACGCAUCUAGAUCAAUCGCAGGUAUAUACUACUUUGUUUAUAACUUAUAUGAAUUUAAUAAUUUUGGUUUUUCUGAUAUUUACAUUCAGCUUAACUUUUGGGACGCUACUGCAUAAGAAAUUUCUAAUUUUAAGUUAUGCUUGAUAUUUCUAAUUUUUAGAUGCAUUAUUUUCUACAACAUAAUUAAGCCAAGUAGUAGUAUUAAAAAUGAAUCCUAAUUGGCAAGGACAUUGAUGUACGGAUAACUAAAUAAGGAAUGAAAAGAAACAAAUUACGUGGUCCAGGAAUUUUUUCUUCUAUCUUUAAGCUAAGAAACAAACUCAAUAUAGGAGGAAUAUGUCUCAAUCACAAGUACACCAAAAACAGAAGAUUUAAAACAAAACAUUGGUUGUUGCAGUUGCUUAUUAUUUCAGCAUAAAAUACCGAAGACAGCACAAUUAUAAGGGUGUUUAGAUUUCUUUAAAGUUUAAACUCAAUUAUAAGCAAAAAUUAACUACUCAAUUGGUUAAAAAAAUUAAUAAGUGUGAAAGUUAGUAUUAAUUGUGUCCGGAUAGAGAAUAUAUUGUGUGUUGAAGUGGUAUAUAUAUUUAGUAUUGCUUUUUGAACUAAAAAUGGAUCACUGAUUCAUAAAUUUAACGAGCAAAGGCUAGAAGAAAUCAAUGGAGUUGGAUCUAACACCGAAGACAGCACAACCAUUGCUUGAGGGAGAUGGUGGUGGUUACUACAUUUGGUUAAGUUCUCAAGUUCCAGUUUUGGCUAAGACUAAUGUUGGUGCUGGUCAACUUGUUCUUCAGCCAAGGGGAUUUGCUCUUCCUCAUUAUGCAGAUUCAAACAAAGUGGGUUAUGUCAUAGAAGGUUAGAGAAUUAAUCAUUAUUUAUUUUCUUACCAACAUCAACACGCAAUAAAUGCAGAUUCAAACAAAGUGGGUUAAAAUGAACGUCACUUUCAAUUUUCAAUGCAAUAAUAAUUUUUUCUUUUCAAUUGUACCUUCCAAUUAAUACUCUGCACAUUACUUCCAAAUUAUUAUGUAUCGCAAACAUCACUUAUUUGCUCAAAUUUGUCAAACGCAGGGACCGAUGGCGUAGUUGGAAUGGUUCUCCCCAACACUGGAAAAGAAGUUGUUUUGAAGCUUAAGAAAGGAGAUGUGAUUCCUGUACCUAUUGGAGGUGUUUCAUGGUGGUUCAAUGAUGGUGAAUCAGAUCUUAACAUUAUAUUUCUUGGGGAAACUUCUAUAGCUCAUGUUUCAGGAGAAUUCACUUAUUUUUUCCUAACUGGUGUUCAAGGACUUUUAUCAAGUUUCUCUAGUGAUUUAAUAAGCAAAGUAUACAAUUUUAAUAAAGAUGAGGUGACCAAGCUAACACAAAGCCAAAAAGGGGUUGUUAUAAUCAAGUUAGAAAAAGGUCAACCUAUGCCUAAGCCAAAAUUGGACCUAACUAAAGACUUUGUUUAUGACAUUGAUGCUAAAACACCAGAAAUUAAGGCUCAAAAUGUGGGGUUAGUCACAACCUUAACGGAGAAAGAUUUUCCUUUUAUUAAGGAUGUUGGGUUAAGUGUGAUUAGGGUUAAACUUGAACCUAAUGCUAUUAAGGCACCAUCAAACCUAAUUACCCCUGGGAUUCAGUUAAUUUACAUUGCUAGAGGAAGUGGAAAAAUUGAAAUUGUGGGAAUCAAUGGAAAACGUGUCUUGGAUGCUCAAGUUAAGGCUGGUCAUUUGAUUGUUGUGCCACAUUUUUUUGUGGUUGCUCAAAUUGCAGGUGAAGAAGAAGGAAUGGAGAGUUACUCUAUUGUGACAACUACCAAGUAAGUUAGAGUUUUAAAUGAGAAAUCAAAAUCACAAGUAACUCGACCAUUUUAAAUUGAAUUUAUUUAUCCAACGAAUUCAAUUUUUUAUUCAACUUAAACUCAUUUGAUUCGUAUAUUUUUUACAGACCUUUGUUUGAAGAGUUAGCCGGAAAGACAUCAGUAUGGGGAGCCUUGUCACCUAAUGUGCAACAAGUGUCUUUCAAUGUGGAUUCUGAGUUUAAUAAACUUUUCAUAUCUAAGGCCACAGAAACCACAAGUCUCAUUCUCCCUACCAUUUAGUUUGACUUGUUUAUAGUAUACCCCAAUAAUAUUCUUAUGUGUGGAAUAUUUCUUUUAUUGAAUAUGUGUGGAAUUUAUGUAAUAAGGUGUUUGAUUUUUUUAUUUUUUUUGUUAAUUAAUAAACCCUACCCAAAUGGUGGGUAGAGUUUGUAUGCCAUGAUGUUACAUCCAGGCACCACCAUUUAUAAAUUUUAAUUAUCGGAAAAAAAAAAAAGUUCUAUGAUAAGUAUAAAUAUUGAUUAAUGUGAAUUGUGAAACUACAUGGACAUCCAACCAUGAUAAGCUUAAUGUAUUUUGGUAAUACAUACGCAACAUGAUCUUAGUAUAUGUGAAUGUCGUGUCAAACAUGAGAUGUUGUAGAAGAGUUAUGAGCCUAGGGAAAGCUAUUGACUAAUCCAACUUAACUCUUAUCACUUGAACCCAAAGUCUGAAGGUGUUGUUAAAAAUAAUGAUAAUUAGAAAAUAAUGAUAAUUAGUUAGUAGUUUAGGUGAUUAGUUAAUUACUUGGUUGGUUAGUUAAGCUCCAAAUAUGUUUUGUUUUUAAGGGGUAUGCUCCAAGUAUGUUCUAUAAAUAGAAUAUUAAUGUAUUCAUUUUUAAAGUAUCUUUUAUCGAAAUUAGUCUCUGAGUUUGUUUGUUUUAUUUCUUCUUUAAAUAUCUAUAUAUAAAAAAGCAACCACAAAUCCCUCCAAAAUCUAAUUGAUGUGUCCUUCCUUAGUUUUACAUCGUCUGCUAAUCAAUUAAGAUGUAUGUCUUCAGACCUCUCAAUUGACAAUGAACAUUUCUUUUUAGACUCUUCAAUACCUCUAAGGUCUCUUAAAUAUGGUAGUUACGGGCUUUAGAGAUAUUAGAGAACGUAAGGAGAAACGUCCAUUGACAUAAAUCAAACCAUCAUGAGGAUUGUUUCAACCUAUUGACAUAAAUUUAUUUUUGGAUACUUGAAAGGAUUUCAUGUUACACACCACUUAUAUAUAAUUUUUUAAUAUUUGAAAAACACUCAAAUCUCUAACCCAACACCUCACACACAUUUCUUAAACAAGACCAACUAAACAUCUAUCAAUAGUUCUAUGUCUUUAUAUUUUAUUUUUUAAAAUAUUAAAGAGACGUAAGAUCCACUUAGAGAGAUGACUUAGUAAAACUCAUUUACUCUAUAAACCUCACUUGACUUUUCUAUCCAGUUAGGGUGUCUAUUAGGAAUAAAAGGCUGAUGAAGUUAAGCCUCCCUUUUAUUGAUGGUCUUAACCCAACAAACUUUAGGGUUCUGCUAUAUAACUAUUAUAUAAUUUCCUUUUUCAUAUCCUUAAUCAGUGCCUCGGAGGCAGCGGUUAGUAUUUCCCCAAACUUUAUUCACAUCAUUGCACUAUAAUGAGAAGAUAAAUUAAUUUUCUGUUCUAAUAAUAAAUUUGAAAAAAAAUUAAUAUAAAUAUAAAUUAUUCCAAAUUUAAUAUUACUCUCAAUUUUUUUAAUUUUAGCAAUAAAUAAAUAUAAAAGAAAAAUGUUAACGAGUGCUCCCGGGGUACUCUUUAAGCUAUCAAAAACAAGAAAUUAUUCUUUAAAAAAGUCAAAUAUUUCGAUUUCCAAAACAUUAAUUACAUGCAUUUUCAUAAUAUUCUUACUACUUAUGGUUCUUAAAGAGUUAACAAGACCCUAUAUAUUUAUAGAUGAAGAUUGUAAAAGUAUAGGAUAAAAGCACAUGUGAUGAAGCAUGAGUACGAUUGCACAAAAUAAAAAGGGUAUAUAUGGUGACAAUGGUGCAAUGUAAGAAUGAUCAUGAUUGAAAGGGAAAAUACAAAAGGGUAUAUAUGGUGUAUGUUGAAUGGGACAACUUCGGUGUCUCUAUUAUUGACGCUGUGUUGGACAAUGUUAGGAAGAAAACUAAGUCUGUAUUACUCAUUUGAUUUUCAACGGUUUUUAAGAUUUUGAUGACCUAAAACGAAACUAUAAUUUGGAUCCUAAUUAAUAAAUAGUAUUAAAAGUAAUUUUUUAUUACGUUGAGAAAUAAUCUAAUAAAAACAUUAGACUUUAUAUAAAAAAUAUUAAAUUUUUUAUUUAAUAUUCAAUUGAUCUAAUAGAGGUGGACCAAUUCAUUAUUGAGGGGAUGCAACUGUACACUUUAAAAUUUUUAAUUUUUCUUUUCAUUUUGAACCCCUCACAUUUUCAUUUUGCAUCAAUAAAUGUAUUUUUCACCGACGAAACCUAUCAUUUUUCACCUUGUUGUUGUUGACUGACAACUGACAUAUACAUGCAAUGGUACAAUGUUAACUGAAAAUUUUAUUUUUUGUUACAAUGUUAAUUGUAAUUUUUUGUUUACAAGGCGAAUGAGACAAACCAAACAAGAAAAGAAACGGAACAAAAGAAACAAAUUACUCCCUAAGGAAGAAAGUUCCAGAAGCAACGUUCCUUAGCAAAUUGAGAAGACCAUUUGGAGGGGAUGCAUGAAUUAACAAGUCAUGGUUCCCUUCUCUAAGGGUGUGAUAAAUAAAGACUUUGCUUUAAGAAAUAAGUUCUUUAAUGUACUGAAUUAAAACAAUAUAGAAAUGAUACUUCACAAAGGGGUCAUUGAUGAGGUUAAUGCAGAGAAGAUAAUCUGAGUAGUAUACAAACUCAUCAAUACCCAAGUCUUUGGCAGUGAUGAAAUCUUUGUAAAUUUCAGAAGUUCAGCGAACAUAAUAUAAAAAGAACAUGUAAGGUGAGUUGACAAAGCCGAUAAAAAGAAACCUAAAUUAUUUCAAAGGACGCCUCUAAAACCAGCCCUGGAUGAAGACCCAAGACAACUCUCAUCCACAUUUAGAAUGACACACUGAUGAUUACUAUUAUUCCACUUGAUUAAACAAUCAUCUGAAGCAACAUUAACAUUGUACGAGAAGCUAUACUUGAGGACUUCUACCGUAUUGAAUAUUGAAAAAGAGGCGGUUUAAGGACAUUGUUUUGCUAUUCAAGCACAUCAAAUUUCGGUGUCUCCAAGCCCAUCAAACACACGGUGAAAAGAUGAUUGAUUGUUGUUCCGGACUAGGCCGAGGCCCAAUCUCGGUUAAGACCCGACUCCAACUGAGAUUCAUUGCAGAGUGAAUCCAUAUUAUGGACAUGCACUAAAACCCACUAGAUCAUUGUCUAAACCUUUAACAUGGACUGUCCAGUUCAGAUCCAAUGUCGUGAUUAUUUCUAGAACACCAUUCAGGACACAUGUCCAAGUGAAGGCCUAACAGCCAAAAGCCCAUUUACCCACUAUAUAUACUAUUGCACAAUAUUGGAUCAUCUAUCUCCCUCUUUUCCCUAAUAUUUGAUUUCACUCUUUGAGCGUCAUAGCACGUGUAAGUACACCACCCUUCUUCGGUUGAGAAGGACUUACGACAGACUAUGACGGACCCAUGAUAGAUUACUCACUCUUCUUAGUAGCACUCAACAUAAUAAAUAUUAUUUAUAGGACUAAAAUAAAAUUAGUUAAAUAUUUUUUUUGUCCCUACAAAAUGAAGACCUUUUAAAUUUAAUUUUACUUAAUUUUAAUUGUUCUUUUAGUUCUUUCAAAAAAAUUCUACACAGUCUUAGUCCUUGAUAAAAUUAAAUAUGUUUAAUUACUCUUUAACGCAACUCUUAUGUUUUUAAACCAUUUUUUGCUAAAAUAUUUAAAUAUUAUAAAAAGUUUCUCCAUAAAAAUAAGUUCAAAUUUUAUUUCUAGGUCUAAAUUUUAGUUACUUUUUUCCUUGAAAAAAAUCAUAUUUAAUUAAUCUAAACUCUUAAAUUUUUUAAUAGGUUUUUAAAAGACAUGUUCAGAAAUUAUAAAUAGUAUAUUUAAUAAAAAAAAAAUUACGAAAUUUGGUAAAAGAGAGUGCCGUACCGUUUUGCUCAUCCGUGAAAUUUAGUAUGCACCGAAUUCGUACCAUUCAACAUUUCUCAAAAAAUUAAUACAUUGUUAAAUGACCAAAACUUUGCUUUUUUCCUGUUUUAUGUUUUGGUCCUGUUACAUACAAAACAAAACUAGGUAAUAUGGUCCUAUUACAGUAAAUUUCUUUUCAGACGCUACAGUGACCUAUCCUAUGUUGUGCAGGGACGCCACUCACUUGAUUGAAUUAUUGCUCUGUACGUUUGCAUUGAGGAAAAGAGUUUUCUUUUUCUUCUUUAACAAAAGAGUUAAGAGGACUAGCGUUCAAAGAAAACAAAGAACAAACUAAAACAUGAAUUUAACAUUUUUAAGCAUAUAAGCCUAUUUAAUAUUAUAAAAAAAAAAUUCUAAAUCUCGUUAGGAAAAGUUUUCAUAACAUGAAUGUUUCUUGAUUAUGUCGAAAUGAUAAAAUUAACAAGCUAACCAACACUCUGAUUUUCCUUCUAUAAAAUAUGUUAAAUGUCUAAUUUAAACAUGCCAACUCAAGAAUAACAUACAAUGAAUGCGACACAUCAAAGCAAGAGGAGCAGCCCUCUUAAUCAUGUUGUUAUGUCUCAUCUCAAAUCAUAUCUACAAGAAUCUUUGAAUCACUUUGUAAAACGAAAAGGGGUAUUGACACUCUCUUUUUAACAAUAUCUAUAACACUUACUCUUUUAUCGGAUAAAAUUCAUGUGGAUACAACACAUUUAAAAUGGAUCCCACAUAAAGUGAUAAUACACAUGGGUUCAUCCAAUAGAAAUUGAGUGUUAAAAGAGACAGCUAAAAACAGAGUGUUUCUAACAUUUUUCUUUACAACAAGAAAAACAAAUCUACAAUUAUUACCACAAGCUUUCCAAAUUACAUCAAUCGAAAAAAAUUUUGGCUUAAAUUCUAGCAUAUAUUUGUUUUUUUACUAAAGAAUAUUGUGUGUAUCAGGUAAAACCAAUAAUUUAUGAUUUGUUUGUUAUAAAUUAAAAUAAAAGUGAUUUUAUCAGUGAAUAAUUUAGAGAUUUAAAAGGAAAAUUAAGAUCUAUUUUGCGUUUGUUUAAAAAAGAAAUGUUACAAAAUUAACUCAAUCUUUCACACUUAUUUUCUCUCAUCUAGAAGAAUCUGGUUUUUAGAAGCUACUUCUAACAACUUCUAAUUCAAAGUUGUUUUUAUAUUAUAUCUUUUUAAAAAGUUGUAAAAUAGAUGCAAUACUCUUAAAAAUAAUUAUUAAAAAAAAAAAAAUUCCCUUCAAAAAGUUAUUUGAAAUGGACUCUUAAUUUAUAAUUUAUAAGCUCACAUGACAAAAAAAAAAAAAAAAAAACUUGUUUGAUAUUUCUAUUUUAUUAAAAAUUUAUAACUUAUUCCAAAGGUCGAUCCAAGAGUAAUGCCGCCAAUGCCCUCACUUUAGACCUAUCAACAAAAAGUUAAUGAUUAAGUGUUUUUUCACUAAGUAUAAACAAUGAAAUGAAGAUAAAUAUACAAUUUUAGCGAAUUAAAUUAACUUAAUAAUAAUAUAUAAAAGAUAUAUCAAAUUAAUAAAUUAAGUCACUAAUUUCUAAAUACUUUAGUAUUAUUUGAUAUACAUUUUAUUAUGAUUUAAGGAUAUUAUUUUAUGUUAUUUUAUAUUCAUCUUCUAAUUAAACCGCUAAUUUUACAACCCUUUAAUUAACUUAUCAAUUAUAACCUAUCCCCUAUUUUACAUCUCUCUUAUUUUCCAAGCCAAUCAUAAGCAAUCAACAACUUGGAACAGUAUCCUACUUCAUAUAUAUAUAUACCUCCCUCAGUCUUGAACUCAUGAACUGAGCUUGCGCGUUCACACUAUAUUUUUGAACUAAGGAACACUGAUAUUUAUAAAUUUUGAAAAGCUUUUUUAGGGGAGAAAAAAUUCAAUGGAGUUGGACCUAACACCUAAGGCAGCACAACCAUUGUUUGAAGGAGAUGGUGGUUGUUACUACAUUUGGUUAAGUUCUCAAGUUCCAGUUUUGGCUAAGACCAAUGUUGGUGCUGCCCAUCUUGUGCUUCACCCAGGAGGCUUAGCUCUUCCCCAUUAUGGAGAUUGUUCCAAAGUUGGUUACGUCGUAGAAGGUAAUAUUAGAGAAAUCUUAAACUAUUAAGUUUUGGCUUAAAUAUGUAUUUCCUUUCAAUUAAGGGUCGUUUAAAAAUUGGUCUAUGUAAUCGCUAAUCCUGACAAUUUACCCUUGCAUUGUUUAAUCAUUUAAAAUUUCGUCCCUCUCCCCACUUAAUCACUGCCACGUCACUAAUUUGAUGACGUGACAAUCACUGUCAUACAUGAAAUUUCAAUUUUACCCUUGAGCUUCCAAUUCUCUCUUCAAUAUUUUGUCCUCUUCUUAAAGGCAAAAUUGGAAUUUCACGUGUGAUAGUGAUUGCCACGUCAUCAAAUUAGUGACGUGGCAGUGAUUAAGUUGGUCAAAGGACGAAAUUUUAAAUGAUUAAUGAUUGCAAGGCUAGUUUGCAAGGAUUAGCAAAUACAUAGACCAAUUUUUAAACGAUAUCUAAUUGCAACGAUGAAAUACAUAUUUAAGCCUUAAGUUUUUUAUAAUGAAUGUGUUUAGUUAUUUAUUCAAAUGUCCUCAAAUGCAUGCAGGGACUAAUGGUGUAGUUGGAAUGAUACUCCCCAGCACCGGAAAAGAAGUAGUUUUGAAGCUUAAGCAAGGAGACAUUGUACCAGUACCCAUUGGAGCUGUUUCAUGGUGGUUCAAUGAUGGUGACUCAGACUUUAAAAUUAUAUAUCUUGGGGAAACUUCAAAUGCUCUUGUUCCAGGGGAAUUCACAUAUUUUAUCCUAGGUGGUGUUCUAGGACUUUUAGGAAGUUUUUCUAGUGAAUUAAUAAGCAAAGUAUACAAUUUUAAUAAAGAUGAGGUGACCAAGCUAACACAAAGCCAAACUGGGGUUACAAUAAUCAAGUUAGAAAAAGGCCAACCUAUGCCUAAGCCACAAAUGGACCUAACUAAAGACCUUGUUUAUGACAUUGAUGCUAAAGCCCCAGAAAUUAAGGAAAAAAAUGUGGGAUUAGUCACAAGCUUAACGGAGAAAGAUUUUCCUUUUAUUAAGGAUGUUGGGUUAAGUGUGAUUAGGGUUAAACUUGAACCUAAUGCUAUUAAGGCACCUUCAAACCUAAUUACCCCUGGGAUUCAGCUAAUUUACAUUGCUAGAGGAAGUGGAAAAAUUGAAAUUGUGGGAAUCAAUGGAAAACGUGUCUUGGAUUCUCAAGUUAAGCCUGGUCAUUUGAUUGUUGUACCAAAGUUCUUUGUGAUUGCUCAAAUUGCAGGUGAAGAAGGAAUGGAGAGUUACUCUAUUGUGACAACUACCAAG
rnacentral:lncRNA from 1 species